rnacentral:lncRNA from 1 species
UAGAUUUAAAUGUCAAAUUCUAUUACUCUAUCACUAUAAAAAUUUUAAAAAUAGAUAUAUAAUUGUGUGUUAUUUAUACAAUUAUUAUUUCAAAUUCUAUAUAUAUGUUUUGAAAUUGAGAUUGUUGAAAUGAAUGAGCAAAUUGUAGUAAGUUUUUUUCUCUUGUCAAUUGAAAUAUUUAUCUCCAUUGUUUAUGAAUUUUCCUCCUCCACAUAGUUUUUUUUUUUGUGAUGGAUUCGUUUUUCAGUUUUAACACUGUUGUCUAAAUAAAGCUAUAAGAAUGAAUUGUAAAUAAAAAAUACACAUGACUGGCCAUGAUUUCGUUUUGCAUCUUAAAAUUUUAGAAGAAUAAUCUGCAAAUAAAAAUAUACUCCCUCUGUCCCUAAUACUUGUCUACUUUUGAAUUGGCACACCUAUUAAGAAAUCAAUAAUUGACAUUGUGAGUUUACCAUUUUACCCUAUUAAUUAUGAAGUGGAUGAAUUAAAAAUUUAAUAUUUUCAAGAAGUUCUACCUUUUUCAAAAUAAUUAAUUGAGGGUAUAAUAGGUUAAAAAAUUUACCCUUUCUUGAUUUGUCAAAAUAAACAAGUAAUUAGAGACAACUAAAAAAGAAAUUAUGGACAAAUAAUUAGGGAUAGAGAAAGUAUGAAUUUUAUAGAGAUCAAAAUUUAAUUUUAGACCACUAAUUUUGUUAAAUCGCCUCUCUAAAGAGCUCACUAACUGGACACUUUUAUGUCUCUGAUCCAUUUAACACCAAUUUAAUAUUUUUACUCAAAUUCUCAUAAAGGUAAACAUCCUCAUUAAAUUUUCUUGGUAGACGUCUUUCUCAGUUACCAUUAUUCGAUAGUGUCAUUUCUUUUAAACAUUUUCCAUAUCAUCUUUGGUACUUUCGUGGUAUUUUCCUAUGUGAAGAUGAACAGAAGUGGACAAUAAUGUGAGAUCAUCAUCCUCCCAAAUAAAUAUUGCUCUACAGAACAACUAUUCGUAAGACUAUUAUAAUAUAAUCUAACUUUAAAAAAACUUUUGAAAUAUAUGUAUGUUGGAGCAGUUGACAAAUAAAUUAAUAAAUUUUAAAAUACAAUCAUAGUAUGGUUGAUGCAAAUAAAUAUGUUGGUAUGCAUGCAUUUAAUUCGUAGGGCCAUGAAUUUAUGUAAGUUCCCUUUCUCUUAUUAUAUAUAAAAAUAAAGUAAUUUAUAAUCAUAUAAAUUUGUAAUAACUUAUUUUAGAUUAUAAGUUCAAACUUUUUUUAUUUUUUGAAUUUGAACUCAUGUAAAUACUGCACAUUAAUUGAGUAUUGAGAAUUUGAGAUAGAAAGAGUACUUUAUACUUAUAUCGACCACAAAGAGAGGAGCAUCACUAUCUAGCAUAAAAGUUGGUACAAAUCACUAUCUAGCAUAAAAGUGCACAAGUUAGAUCCAAAAAGUUAUACUGUUUAAAAAAGAAUGACUCAAUUUUUUUAUUAGUCUAUUUAAAAAAGAAUGACCCUUUUUAUUUUUUUAUAAUAUUUUAACUUCAAUUUUUUACGUGACAUGUUUAAUGUCAUAAGAUUAAAGGAUAUUUUGGUACAUUUGACAUAACUUUAAUUUAGAGCCACAAGAUUCAAAAGUCUUUUUUUUUUCUUAAACUCCGUUCCAAGUCAAAUUAGGUCAUUCUUUUUUAAACGAAAGGAGUGGUAUAUUUUUUUUUGCAACCAGCUCGUUGGUGUCACAUCUCACACGUGUCUAUGUCAUGCUACUUAUAGUAAUAAUAUUUACUACUAUAAGCCUUAAACGGCGAUAAAUUAGACAAAAAAAAAAAGAGAAUUAUGCUUGCUCUUUUGGGGUAAAGGCUAGUCUAUAAGAAAAUGUCGUGUUCUCCCAUUAUUUACUUUCAGAGUUUUCUUGGAGUGAUUCUUUAGGAUGAGUGGUGUAAAUUUAAGCAUGAAUUCAUCACCAUUCAUAUCUCUGUUGGUCUAUUUUUGAUAACUUGGUCAUGUCAUUCAAGUAAUUACGAUUAAUUAUGAAGUAAGUUGAAAGACAACAAAUAACAAUAAUAAUUACAUAUCUCAUAUAGUUCUACAAGUGGGAUUUGAGAAAAUACAGAUGUACGUAGACCUUAUUUGUAAUUUGACACUCAACACGCAACGAUGUAUUAUCAAUUUACCAUAAAAGAGUAAGUUGAAAGGCAUAUGAAUAAAAUUGACGAAAGUAUAUAUGAUCUAAACAAAACAGCAUAUUAUACCAACAAUCAAGAGAGUGUGCGCAUUACUACCUAGGCAUUAGCUUAAAUUAAUAGUCAUUGUAGUACUUUAUGUACGUAGUACUAGUAGUUAAUUUCGACAACAUUAAUUUGGAGUUUACGAAAAUGCCAGUAUUUUUGGUAAAUAUUCCUAUUUGCUUAGAUCAUAUAAAUAAUAAAUAGUCUCAAACACCGAAAGUCAUGGUGUAAGAAACUUCCUCGAAGUUCAUUUUAACAUAUGUUUUAAUUGAUUUGUAUUAAACAAAAACACUCAAUUAGCUUCAUAUAUGGAGUUCUGUUAUACUUCAUAGCCAUAUAUUAGCAGUGUUAUGUUACGCCAAUUAUUAGCAGUGUUUGAUGUCAUGUUGAUCAGGAAAUGACAUUAUUAUCACCUUUUUCCAAUAAUAUUCGAUCUCUAGGAAAACAAGUUCCUUAAGAAAUGAGGAAAAUGAACUGGCCAAUGAAAAUAGGAAAAAUAAGUUUUAUCAGUGACAUUCCAAGUUGAUUGUGUCCUCUCCACCCUCCAACACACCUCAUCUUUACCCUAACCCCAUAGUCCUCAUCCCCAUCAUCCGACAUCCCUACCUCCCUACCCCACCUUCAUAGUAUUUAUACAAAUGCUUUUAGGAUAAUAGCUUUUGCUUACCUACUGAUCAAUACAAGAAAAUAAGAAAAAAAUUCAACAUUUUUCAUGUCGUACCGAACACACCCUACAUGAAAAAUUCUUAGUUAAGCUAAUUAACAGUUACUAUACUACUUAUUUCUGUUAUGUCUGCAAAAAAGUGAUGAUAAAAGUAAGGCUUUCGUUUUCUAGGAGUGCAAAAGCAAUGCAGCUUUUUGUUGCUAAUAUCUCAAAAGAUGUUUCUUCGAGUCUUUACAGCUCCUAUUUCAAUAUUCCAUUUGUGUAUGCAUGCAAUUUUUAACUCAAAACUAAAACUGUGCUUUGUAAGACGGACGGAGUAGAUAUAGCUGAUUGCACACAGUAAUCCUGAUUCUUGAACACAUACAAAUUGAAAUAAAUGUACAUACGAUGACCCCUUUAUUUCCAACGAAUAUAUAACUGUACAACCGAUCACACCUUUUGUUCCAAUGAAAUAAGUAAAAUGUUCCGAAAGUAGUUUCACACUGUAAGGUUAAAAAGAAUAUUCAUAUUACCAAAAUUGCUUCAGCAUGGGAUGGGAAUUAAGCUGUACAAAGUCGAGUUCAUAUUAAAAUUGAGUAAUUAUGACUCUUCACUGAAAUAAAUAUGAUGUAAUCGAUCAAACACUCACUACAUGCUAUGUACAAUUCUGAGUCAGAAGUAGUACAACAAGAUCUAGAGAAUAAAUAGACUUGUGUCUUCAGCUUUUCAUGAUUCAGCUUGCUGACUUUCUUUCUUUUGGCGCGACUUGUGGUGGAUCCUGGGAAACAGAAGAUCAUUAAGUUGUCUUUCAGCACUAUACUCCGAUGAGGCCUGCAAAAAAAACAUUCUAUUACCUUUUCACGUACACUGGGUAAAAGAAAAAUGCAGGCACACAAGAAUACAAUGAGUGUGUUUGGCAGGGAGGAAAAUAUUUUCUCGAAAAUACCAUGUUUGAUUAGUUUUAACAUUUUGGAAAUGUGUUGGCCUGGCUAAAUGGGCUGGAUCAAGACUGGACUUGGAACAGGUUAAUGGACCAGGUGCAAUGCUGAUCUGUUCCAUUAGCUGAAGCAGGACUACUGGAAGGAAUAGAAGUCCAAUGAACACUAGAAGACUAGAAGAAUCAGAAGACCGAGGAAGUUGGUAAAAGAUCAGAGGUGAACUCCAUCAAAACAAGUGGAUAAAGGAGUGUUGAACAGGAAGGUAUAAAUAAAGAACUCUUUCACAGAAGAAGAUAAGGCACUCACACAACAAGCAACGACAGAACUCAACCAAAUAAGCAAGAGCUAUUGAGAACUCAAGUUUUGACUUAUUUUUCAAAUGCAGCCUCUGAUACAAAGAACCGGAUUGAAGAACUUGCUCAGGCUUAGGAGUCUAUGCAACUGUCAGGUCUAAAGGAUUGAAGAACUUGUCUCAGGCUUAGGAGUCUAUGCAACUGUCAGGUCUAAAGGAUUGAAGAACUUGUCUCAGGCUUAGGAGUCUAUGCAACUGUCAGGUCUAAAGGAUUGAAGAACUUGUCUCAGGCUUAGGAGUCUAUGCAACUGUCAGGUCUAAAGGAUUGAAGAACUUGUCUCAGGCUUAGGAGUCUAUGCAACUGUCAGGUCUAAAGGAUUGAAGAACUUGUCUCAGGCUUAGGAGUCUAUGCAACUGUCAGGUCUAAAGGAUUGAAGAACUUGUCUCAGGCUUAGGAGUCUAUAAAUUCUCGUAUUAGGGUGAUUAUCGAGUUGUAUCUUUUCAGCUUUCCUAGAAGCAAUUGUUUAGGAAUAAACAGAAUUAGAAGUUGGAUUUCAAGUUGGGAUAACUUGAAAAACGAAGUAACUAUCUGCGAAGAUUAUUGCUUUGGGGAUUAGAGUUAGUUCCUAGCUGCAACUCUUGUAAUUUAAAUUAUGUUAAGGCUCAUUGAUUUAGUGGAUUUGGGUCAAAUCCUACAAAGGUGCAGGUUGUGGUUUUUCGCCUCUAUGAGUUGGGUGUUUUCACGUUAAAACGCCGUCUUUACUUCACUGCAAUUAUUAGACUAAUAAAUAGAUAGAAGAAACGUGUAAAGUAACAGGGAUUAUAGCUUAAGCGAAAAUUAGGCAUAACUCACAUGAGUUAUUAGGAUGUGCACAAUAUCAAGGAGGGAAGCCAUUUUCCGUUUACUCUCCCACGUCAUUUCCAACUGAUGGUUUCAGCCCACCCUCAUCCAAAGCCCCCCCCCCUCCACCAACCCCCCACUCCCCCACACCCCCCCCCCCAAUUCANNNNNNNNNNNNNNNNNNNNNNNNNNNNNNNNNNNNNNNNNNNNNNNNNNNNNNNNNNNNNNNNNNNNNNNNNNNNNNNNNNNNNNNNNNNNNNNNNNNNNNNNNNNNNNNNNNNNNNNNNNNNNNNNNNNNNNNNNNNNNNNNNNNNNNNNNNNNNNNNNNNNNNNNNNNNNNNNNNNNNNNNNNNNNNNNNNNNNNNNNNNNNNNNNNNNNNNNNNNNNNNNNNNNNNNNNNNNNNNNNNNNNNNNNNNNNNNNNNNNNNNNNNNNNNNNNNNNNNNNNNNNNNNNNNNNNNNNNNNNNNNNNNNNNNNNNNNNNNNNNNNNNNNNNNNNNNNNNNNNNNNNNNNNNNNNNNNNNNNNNNNNNNNNNNNNNNNNNNNNNNNNNNNNNNNNNNNNNNNNNNNNNNNNNNNNNNNNNNNNNNNNNNNNNNNNNNNNNNNNNNNNNNNNNNNNNNNNNNNNNNNNNNNNNNNNNNNNNNNNNNNNNNNNNNNNNNNNNNNNNNNNNNNNNNNNNNNNNNNNNNNNNNNNNNNNNNNNNNNNNNNNNNNNNNNNNNNNNNNNNNNNNNNNNNNNNNNNNNNNNNNNNNNNNNNNNNNNNNNNNNNNNNNNNNNNNNNNNNNNNNNNNNNNNNNNNNNNNNNNNNNNNNNNNNNNNNNNNNNNNNNNNNNNNNNNNNNNNNNNNNNNNNNNNNNNNNNNNNNNNNNNNNNNNNNNNNNNNNNNNNNNNNNNNNNNNNNNNNNNNNNNNNNNNNNNNNNNNNNNNNNNNNNNNNNNNNNNNNNNNNNNNNNNNNNNNNNNNNNNNNNNNNNNNNNNNNNNNNNNNNNNNNNNNNNNNNNNNNNNNNNNNNNNNNNNNNNNNNNNNNNNNNNNNNNNNNNNNNNNNNNNNNNNNNNNNNNNNNNNNNNNNNNNNNNNNNNNNNNNNNNNNNNAGUCAGUGACGGAUCCAAAAAAUUUAUAUUAUGGGUGCUUAACUAUUUUUAGCUCGGAAAUUGCUACAUAGAAUGGCUGCUCGGUUAAUAUAUUUCAAUAAAUUACUAAAUUCUGUUCUUAAAUAAUAAUGUUUGUCACAAAAGGCAGUGAGUGCUUAAGCACCCAUAAUACAUAAUAUAGGCCCCGCCACUGCCCAAACUCCUUCGCCCCAUCCCCUAAAAGUUAGUUAUGCCAAGUUAUCUAGCGGUUGCGGGUUUCCUUGUCAUAAAAAAUAAAAUAAAAAAUAUUUAUGCUUACUUACCAAAUACCAAAAAAUAUGUGAGAAAAUCACUUAUUUUCCCAUGGAGACCCGAGUACCGACAGUGAGAGGAGACUCGGAGCACUUCCCUGUGUUGAUGGGGUUGCACGUAUUGACACGAUAUAUUCAGGGUGAGGUGUCAUGGUGUGUGUUAUUUGCAGAUGUAGUUUUGAUUGACGAGACUCACAACGGAGUUAACUCUAAGUUGGAUGUUUGGAGACGAAACCUGGAGUCUCAAGGGUUCAGAUUAAGACUGAAUACUUGGAGUGCAAGUUCAAUGAUAUGAUGCAUGAGGCUGAUAUGGAAGUGAGGCUUGAUACGCAGAUCAUCCAGAAGAGAGGUAGUUUCAUCUUGGGUCAAUUAUCCAAGGAAAUGGAGAGGUUGACGAGGAUAUGGUAAAGGGUGGCUGAAAUGGAGGCUUGCUUUUGGAGUCUUGUGUGAUAAGGUGUCACCUAGACUUAAAAGGCAAGUUCUACAAAGUGGUAGUUAGACUAGCUAGCUCUCACAUUCAGAAGAUUAACGGAUGCCGCAACGAUGAGGAGAUGCACGGAUGCCCCAGUGUAGAGGUGUGAGAGAUAGGUUAUUGAUGGAUUCAGGAGAGGUAGAUGUAGAGGUAGAUCAAAGAGAUAUUGGGGAGAGGUGAUUAGACAGGACAUGAGGAAGUUGUAGUUCCGAGGACAUGGCUUUAGAUAGGAAGGUGUGGAGGACACAAAUUAGGGUAAAAAGUUAGUAUGUAUGUAGAAGUGUUUACUACUAGUAGGCAGAAAUAUCUUGUCUUGUUGCCCUUUCUAUUAGUCGUAGGACUACUUUUGUAGUUCCUUGUUCUUUGAUUUCUGCAACUAUCCAUUAUUUCGUGUAGUUUGUUUGUAGUAUUAUUUUGUUAUAGUACCGUUUUGUUACUAUCUGUUGUUUUUGUUACUAUCGAUUGUCUAUUGUACUUCUAUUGUGUCUUUUCCCAGACUGUCUUUGUGUUGAGCUGGGAGUUUAUCAGAAACAGUCUCUCUAUCAGAUCCCACUGGGUGGAACUACAUUGGGUAUGUUGUUGUACCGCACACCAUAAGUCUUCAAGGUUUCAACUUUUCUCUUGCUGAGAAGAAAUAAGAAUAAAAAUGGACUACCUUCGGUAGUAGAACACAUAAUCCCAAUAACGUAGAAGGUAAGAUGAAUAAAUAUAAGAAAAUGUAUGUGCAGGUUGCCUUCCCCUUUUCCUUAUUCAAUUUGGCUUUUCAAAAAAAUUCACAUAGGAUACCCCUUAAGUGGUUUUACAUUAAGGGUGUGUUUGGUAUGAAGGAAAACAUUUUCCGGAAAAUGUUUUCCUUCAUACCAAACACACCCUUAAUGUAAAACCACUUAAGGGGUAUCCUAUGUGAAUUUUUUUGAAAAGCCAAAUUGAAUAAGGAAAAGGGGAAGGCAACCUGCACAUACAUUUUCUUAUAUUUAUUCAUCUUACCUUCUACGUUAUUGGGAUUAUGUGUUCUACUACCGAAGGUAGUCCAUUUUUAUUCUUAUUUCUUCUCAGCAAGAGAAAAGUUGAAACCUUGAAGACUUAUGGUGUGCGGUACAACAACAUACCCAAUGUAGUUCCACCCAGUGGGAUCUGAUAGAGAGACUGUUUCUGAUAAACUCCCAGCUCAACACAAAGACAGUCUGGGAAAAGACACAAUAGAAGUACAAUAGACAAUCGAUAGUAACAAAAACAACAGAUAGUAACAAAACGGUACUAUAACAAAAUAAUACUACAAACAAACUACACGAAAUAAUGGAUAGUUGCAGAAAUCAAAGAACAAGGAACUACAAAAGUAGUCCUACGACUAAUAGAAAGGGCAACAAGACAAGAUAUUUCUGCCUACUAGUAGUAAACACUUCUACAUACAUACUAACUUUUUACCCUAAUUUGUGUCCUCCACACCUUCCUAUCUAAAGCCAUGUCCUCGGAACUACAACUUCCUCAUGUCCUGUCUAAUCACCUCUCCCCAAUAUCUCUUUGAUCUACCUCUACAUCUACCUCUCCUGAAUCCAUCAAUAACCUAUCUCUCACACCUCUACACUGGGGCAUCCGUGCAUCUCCUCAUCGUUGCGGCAUCCGUUAAUCUUCUGAAUGUGAGAGCUAGCUAGUCUAACUACCACUUUGUAGAACUUGCCUUUUAAGUCUAGGUGACACCUUAUCACACAAGACUCCAAAAGCAAGCCUCCAUUUCAGCCACCCUUUACCAUAUCCUCGUCAACCUCUCCAUUUCCUUGGAUAAUUGACCCAAGAUGAAACUACCUCUCUUCUGGAUGAUCUGCGUAUCAAGCCUCACUUCCAUAUCAGCCUCAUGCAUCAUAUCAUUGAACUUGCACUCCAAGUAUUCAGUCUUAAUCUGAACCCUUGAGACUCCAGGUUUCGUCUCCAAACAUCCAACUUAGAGUUAACUCCGUUGUGAGUCUCGUCAAUCAAAACUACAUCUGCAAAUAACACACACCAUGACACCUCACCCUGAAUAUAUCGUGUCAAUACGUGCAACCCCAUCAACACAGGGAAGUGCUCCGAGUCUCCUCUCACUGUCGGUACUCGGGUCUCCAUGGGAAAAUAAGUGAUUUUCUCACAUAUUUUUUGGUAUUUGACCAGCCCCCACCCCCCAAUAAAAAUUUAAGUUUAUUUUUAAAAAAUAUUUUCAAUUUCAAAAAAUAUUUUCUACUCUAAUUAAAAUAAAAGAUAUUUCUCAAAAAUAUUUUUCAUUCAUAAGUCAAACACUAAAAAUCUUUUCCGGAAAAUAUUUUCUACUCACCAACCAAACAUGAGAAAAUAAGUCAAAAAUCAACUUGUUUUCCAGGAAAACAUUUUCCAUGAAAAACAUUUUCCUUCAUACCAAACACACCCUAAAUUUCAAUUUUUUGCUAUUGAAGACAUAAUUGAGCAAGUAUAAAUGUGCCCUCUCUAAUUGCUUGGGGUUUAAAUAAAGUGGUCACAUACUUCAUGUUCGCAUCACAGCAUGCAAAAGUCUUCCUUUCAUGUUUCACUGUCAAUCUUCUAACAUCAACAACGCCUCAGUCCCAAACAAUUUGGGGUCAGCUAUAUGAAUCCUUAGUGGCCAUGUUUCUCACAACCACUCUUCAUUGAAAAGACACUCACACAUGUUUUGCCAAUAACAAAGAAUUAGGCAUGCAUGUGAGGGUAUGCAAGACAUAAAUAUGCUUCUUUAUCAGAGUAAACUUUUAGAUGUGGUGACCACACACAUCAAUGGGUCUGUUUUUCAGUUUAUGUCAAGGACUUUGAUCCACAAAGAAGGAACUUAUUUACGAUACAAUAGAUAUUCAACAAGACUAGAAAUUAAGGAUGGAGUCCCAAAACUCCUAAGAAGAUAAAGUAUUACAAUAUCUUACCCGCUUUCUAAAUGAAAACCGAAGUGUUUGGACUUGUGUCCCAGAGCAAACUCUCAAGUCAAAACCAAGGCUGUCCACACCAAUCAGAGACACCUCCUGCCAUAAAUUGCAAGAAGAAACUCUAGAUGAAUACCCCAGCGAUCAUCAUACUUGAUAGAAGAUCUAGUUCAGUAUAAGACACAUUUCCACCGUAAGCUCAGACAAGUGAUGCACACUCGUAUUUUCAAAAAAUAAAUAAAUAAAUAACAGACCCGAAAUUCAUCUGUUUCAAUUUAUAAUGCUGACUACAAUACUAGACAUUGUUAUCAGGAAAAAAAGUUUGUUUUAGGUUUCGGACAUUUUAUCUUCCAAUCACAUGUUCAGGUUUCUCUUCUUAUCUUAUCUUUUUAAAAUAUUCUCCAACGCAUGAGCAAGGGAGGUUGAGUUGUAUGGUUUUCUUUAAAUUAUUUUCCCUGUAGACCAAUCCCUGGGUUGUACAGCAAUGAACUUCUGAGGAUAGAAAAAGAAGUAAAUCUACUGAUCUCAGAACAAUAUUUGAAUCUGAGAUUACAGGCUGAAGGACCAUUACCUCCACUUGAAUUCCCUUGCAUCUCCAACAGAGAGAUCUAAGAGCCUGCAUAGUCUUCUCUCCAGCAGCUUUAAGCCGAGAUAUUAUUUUGGCAGCUGAAUGUACAAUUGCAUCAGACCUAGCUCUCCUAAAAUCAUCUAACUCAACAAAGAUCUGUGAGCACCAAAAUUAAAAAACAUCAACUUGGUAAUCCCUGAAUAACGGUGAAUAUGUAAACAGGAAUCUCCCACAAGCAGAAAAUGGUCAAAGAAUGCAGAUAUAGAACUGGUCAAAUUUCAUUUAAAACAAUUGAAAGAGAAAAAACAAAAACAAAAAAGAACAUCCCAUGGAUCUUGUGUACAAGAUUCACUUGGCAGGGAAAAUCCACAGUGAAAUUAUCAUAUCAUUUAUCAUCCACCAUGACACAAAACAGUUUCAGAAUCCUGCUUACGGAGUCAAUUCCGAAACUAGAUUUCAACUUGGCAUACAAACGUGUAUAAUUCAGGAUAGACAUUUUUUCUGUUCAGAAAUCGAAUGAAAAAGAGUACCCUCUUUUCCUUUUUCUGUUCUAAUGAUAGUUAUUCCUUCAUAUUCCUGACUUGUUAAAUUAAAUAUUCAUUUAUUGUUGCUCUCUGUGCCAUCAGAACUUAUUGAAGUCCACAAUGAUUUUCCAUAUAACAAUAAGUUUCGAGAUGACCAAAAUAAUUACUGUAAAUACAGAAAUUGCACUAUAUAAACUGAGACACAUGGAGAGGGAAGAAGGGAAUGCUAACCAACAACAAUCAAGGUUGAACCACAUAAAACCUACACACAGUUACCUGAUUCCCAUUGGAAGAAAUUAACUGAAUUCUGAUCAUCUCUAGCUUGUAAAAUGAAGUUCCACUUCCUAAGUUCUCAUCCUUUUCCAAUUCUUCCCAACUUGGGUUCUCUUGUGAUGAUCCACUCUCAUGUUUGUGGCCAUUUAUUUGAACACCACCCUUUUCUUUGUGGUCAUCAUCUUUUUCUAUCCGGUUUAAGUCCGCGUCACUCAAUGUAUCUUCAGAUAUCUGCUUUUGAAUCGUAGUGUGCUCUUCCAGGAAGGAUGGCCUUAGAAGGCCUUGUAUAGCAAGACCUGCAGGAGGCUGGUCCAUGAAAUCUAUGGGGUCAUCUGUCACAACCUGAGAAGCAAAGAAGACCACAAACGAAGUGGGUUAAAUUACCAAUUAGAUAGCAGAUGCAGAAGGUUUAAUGCCAGCAUGUGCAGAAAAAUAAAUGUUUAACAGUGCUGAUUUCACUCAAAAGGAAAUCGAUUUAAUGUUUCUCUUAAAUUUAACUUUGACUUUUCAUGGCGUGAAAUCAAUGAUGUAGAGAAUCACCUCAGCGAUCUUUUUGGCAAAAUACAUUGGAUGAGAAGAGCGCAUGGUUUCUAAUUUAGCCCAAUCCCCCAAUGACCCAUCAGAAUCCCCAUCCUGAUCUUCAUCAUCAACUAUGGCAACCCAAUCCUGUCAACAAGCAUUUAAACUGAUUUAUUAAAUGGAAAGUGCAGUUACUCGCAUUCUAAAAAGUAAAGCAUUUGAAAUAAAUAAAUACCUCGUCACUGUCACCAUCAUCAUUGUCAUCUUCAUCGAGGUCAUCUUCGUCAUCAAUAUCACUGUCCUCAUCGUCAAAAUCAUCUAUGCCAUAAUCAACUUCAGAUUGACCAAAUGACUCUAGUUCACUUAGCAUUUCAGCAGUAUCUAGGCCAAUAAUUACUUGCUGCAUCGUAUUUGAAAUUUAAGCAGCAUUCAGAACUCUUUUCUUAUCAACUUUUGGUCAUUUACAACCUAGCAAGGUAACAAAAAAGAUCUUUUUUGAUAAAUUUAAAAAAGCUGACUUAUGUCAGCUUAAUCAUAGGUACUAACAUUAUGCAUACACAUAGCUUCCUCUCAGUAUUCAAAAUUCAUUCUCUUUUUUUUCCUUUCCUGAAAUGCUAAAAGAGCUCCAAGAUGGUUGGAACCAACAAACAUGUUUAAAAGCAAACUUCCAGUUUGUCUAAAAAUAACUGAUAUUUGAAGACAGGCAAGUAAUUACAUGAUAGAACAGUCUUUCAAUGGGAAGAUGAUUAUAGAAACAACAAUCAAGAAGUUUCUUUACUCAGACAAACUUAUCCUGCAUGGUAGAUAAACUAGAAUAAUACAACUUGCACCAUUAUACAUUGAUGACAUGAACUUCUGCAAAAGGUUAGUACAUAUCACCCUGGAAGACCGUUGACUAAUCAAGAAACAUGUAUGCAACACGGCAGAAUCAUUUGGAAGUACUCACAAAAGGCAGUAUGCUCGGUCUGAUCCAAUCACAAAUAUAUGUAAAUGAACAAUGCAUCAAUUGACCAUUCUGCAAACAUGAAAACAAACAGAACUUUUUAACUUCAAUGUCCAUACCACAACGUUUUCUUCGGCUGUCAGAGUUUGCAGGAUGUCUUCAUCAUUCUUCACUUGAAAGUAGAUGUCUGACCAAAAGGCAAAGCACAUAAACCUUCAUAAUGACCAAAAUGUACUAGUGGUAGGAAAACAUGCUAAAUGACAAGAAUUGAGCAGCUUACUUCCAAGUUCAUCAGUUAUAUAAGGCAAGUCUGGCCAGAAAAUGUUCUCCUGCACUUCAUUGUUGACCACACCUGAAAACAUGAGUGUUGCUUUGCUGUUUACCUACAGAUCAAGUAGGAAAACCAAUAUUAGCUUUCUGAAGACAACUAGCUACAGUGAUAAAUAGCUAACCGAGUUCAUCAGUUAUCUGGCCAGGAAAAGUUCUCAUGCACUAUUUACUAAACCUGAAACCGUUACUGUUGCUCUGGUGUAUAACUAAAGAUCAUGUGGUAACGGAAAUAGUAUUAUAUUUGCUCAUGACAGGGUAGAGGGAAAUCAGAAAGAUAUUGAGAGCCUGGGAGUAAUGUCCUGACACUGGAAGUUUGUAUGACUACUCUCUGACCACCAUGGAUAACCCUGGAUGCUAUCCAGCUUUCCAAGGGCAUUGUGAAACAAUAAUUCAGUAAGGAAAUAAAAUCUUAAGUGAUCCCAAACUUUCUGUUCUUCUUUCUUUAUAAUAUUUCUAACAGCUAAUGACUAAAAUCUCUAUACAUUUGCAUUCAAAAUCAGUAUAUGCUUCCAACAUACAAUCAAAUAAAGCAAGCAUGAUACAAUAGUAUUUAUUGGUACCUCAAUGAUUGUUCUAGCAGUUUCAGCUGGCGACAAUUGAGCUUCCUCAUUCUCCCCAUUUUCCGAAUCCGAAAUGUCUUCAAACGGAUGAUACCUGGAUGGCUUCGCAUUCUGUUUCACUGGUCCAGAACUCGCACUAGGCUGAUCUCUCGCACUUGCUUUAAUCCCACAUUUUCCCUUACCCGUUCUUAUUCUGCCACCACAAUACUCCGUCGUCAACCUCCUUAUCUUAUUCCUACAAGCAAACAGUACAUAUACCGCAACGAGUUUACAACAUCAUUUGAGCUUGCACUGUGUGCUUUUUACUGUUAGUAUAUAAUAAUCAGUUGGAUCAGUAAUAGAGACAGUAAAAGGAAAACUAGUACCGAGGGAUGAAGAAACUGGCGGAGUGAGAAAACCGGCGGAAGGUACGGUUGAAGUUACCGGCGGGAAAACGGACGGCGACGGCGGCAGGUUCUACCAUAAGCAUUUUUCAAGUUUUCAGCAACUGAGGAAUUGAAUUAACGGGGAGAGAUCGGUGAAAUAGAAGCAAAAAGUAGAGGGGGAUUUCAAAGAUCUUCUUCGUCCAUCAGUCUGUGAUUGGGUGUUGUGGUUCUCUUAUUAUCCAUUUGAAAGCGCUCGCUUGUUUCUUCUUCUUUAUUCAUUAGCAAUAUGCGAUAAAAGAUUCCAUGUCUGCUCCCAUACCGUCCCUACAGCUGAGUCCACCUGCCAAAAUAACGGUGUGAAAUUACUGUAAUGCCCUUGGGGUUCAUUUCGUUUACUAGGAUAAACCCUUCAGCUGAGAAAAUAUCUCAGUUCUCCAUGUGUGCGAACGGACUUUGUUCUUGGGAAGCCAUUAAAAUACAGUCUCACUUUCAGCUCUCAAUUAGUUGUGAGCAUUUUCUGGUAAAUCUUUCAGUCUUUUUUAUUUUUGCUCGAACCCAUGUUGGUUGCAGUUAUUGACCCAAAAAGAGAAAAAAAAAUUGUUUUUUUAACCUCCCAAGCUCCCACCCUUUUUUGUUUCCGGUGACUCGAAACCACUACCACUGGGUGGGAGGUGGAGAUGGAGAUGGAGGGUGCUUACGAUUCGAGCAAUCCCUUUCAUCAAAAUAUAAUUUCUUUUCGGUGGGGAGUGUAUGGAUAAGGUUUUAAAAUAAGGGAACCGAUUUUCUUACCCCAAUUGAGUGCUAUUUUAUCUAAUUCUUGGAUUGUGCGUUGCAGGAGUUUCAACUGAUGCUUUUUCUUCCCCACUGAGAAUGCUUUGUUUGAGGUAUUCUCCGGUAAUUUUUACUACUAGAAGACAGCAAACAAUUCAGCUCCCCAAGAACUAUAAUCGUAACGUUGUGGUAAGAUUCUGCAGAUUUUCUUGAAGCCUAACAAAUUUGAUGUUCCCACACUGCUAUGUCAUAAGUUCUAUAUAGGGUAAGCUGCUAGCUGCAGUGCUAAUGUCAAUGUGUUUGAAAGUUAUUAGGAAGUAGUAAGAGAAAAGGAUUUAAUAUUUUGGAAAAGAAAAAACUUGUAGAAGUUUAGAGAAACUCUAUGGUAACUGUAAAGGACUUCAAUUUUCCUUCAGGAGGAAUCAGAUGUUCCCUGACUUGGACGUUUAAAAGUAAUAUGCUCAAUUUGGGUUCCUAUGAUUCAUUAUUGUUUGCCUUGUCUUCCUUUUUCUCUUUUAGGUACACACUGCUCUUUUCUAUUUCCUCUCUUCUUGCUCUUGAAGUCACCUCUCUGUCAUAAUUCUGAUGUUUCUCAGGUGUGCGAAGCUAAAGGUCCACGACCAAGGUAUCCUCGAGUGUGGAAAACAAAAAAGAAAAUAGGGACCAUUUCCAAGUCACUGAAGCUUGUUGAGUGUGUAAGAUUUUCUCUUUUUACAUUAUUUCUCUUUUGGGUAUGAUUUCAAGACAAAAGGUUUCAAUUUCUCUACAUUAACAAGAGUGUUUGCCUCAGGUUCUUGUCUUAGUUGCCCUUCUGUAUACGCAUAAUCAAUAAAUUGUACUAUUGACCACCCCCCAACAUGAACAGGCACCUGCAUCCUGAAUAAUGAUAUAAUAUAUAAGUCUGGUUUAACAGAAUUUUCGCUUACUUUUGGAUUUUCUCUUUGUAGAUAAAGGGAUUAUCAAAUGUCAAGGAAGAAGUCUACGGAGCGCUUGAUUCUUUCAUUGCAUGGGAACUGGAGUUCCCUUUGAUUACAGUGAAGAAAGCAUUGAAAAUUCUUGAGAAUGAAAAAGAGUGGAAAAGGAUAAUUCAGGUAUCAUCUUAUCUGGUGCCCUAAGUUUUCAUUCCUUAAAAGGCUUAUCAGGUCCUAGUAUAAAUUGUAUCAAUCGAGGGUAUCUAAUUGCAGGUGACAAAGUGGAUGUUGAGUAAAGGUCAAGGGAGAACAAUGGGAAGCUAUUUUGCGUUGUUAAAUGCCUUGGCUGAGGAUGGAAGACUUGAGGAAGCUGAAGAGCUUUGGCUGAAACUAUUCUCUCAGAAUCUGGAAAGCAUGCCUCGUAUUUUCUUUCAGAAAAUGAUAGCCAUAUACUAUCACAAGGAGAUGAAUGAGAAGAUGUUUGAGGUAUCCUACAUUUUUUAUGCCUUCCCUUUUUCUUGCUUCUGUACUCAAUUCUCUUCAAUUAAUUGGUUUCUCUCCAGUAAUACCUAGGUACUUCUCUUUUAUUUUUUAUUUUUUAUUUUUUUCUCUAUUAUUUCCAUGGAAUAGUGCCUUUUGAUAAGUGAUUUUGUUCAAUGGUAAUGGAACAGUCAAACUAUAUGCUACAGGACUUUGGCAUAAGAAGCAUUAUGUGUGUGUUUUUCCUCUCUUUUUUUCUUUUUUUAAUAAACUUAAGAAGCUAGCAAUGUAUUAAUAUAGUAGUCUAAGAAGUAUUGUGGUAAAACCUAAUGUACAAAGGAAGCAAUGCAAACAUAGAAUUUCAGAGAAGUGGCUCUCAGAAAACAAAUAAAUGAAAGAAAGUUCACAUUUCAUCACUUGAACCAUUGUGUGUUCUUAUUUUGGUCUGUCUUCCCACAGUGAGAAACACUUGGGAGAACGAGGACAGCUGACUACCCCUAAAAGUCAGACUAAGAGUACUCAUUGUAUGAUUGAAAACUGCCGCUGCAUACUACCCAGUGCUCAGAGAAGUGGCUCUCAGAAAACAAAUAAAUGAAAGAAAGUUCACAUUUCAUCACUUGAACCAUUGUGUGUUCUUAUUUUGGUCUGUCUUCCCACAGUGAGAAACACUUGGGAGAACGAGGACAGCUGACUACCCCUAAAAGUCAGACUAAGAGUACUCAUUGUAUGAUUGAAAACUGCCGCUGCAUACUACCCGGUGCUUGCAGGUCUGACUGGUGCCUUCUCUCCAACAGCUGCCUAUUGGUCGUGCUGUUCGGUACUUGAAUAUGCUUGCCGCAGAGAAAGACUACUUUUCUAUUCGCUUGCCUGCACGCCUCUACUCAUGCGGGACUGACUGUGCAAUACUAAUAAUGGAUUUUUGUUCUUAUUUUGGUCUGUCCCACAGUGAGAAACACUUAUUUUUCCAUUUGAAUGGAACCUUGGUUUAGCUCUUUAGAUAGAGGAGUCAACAAUACCAUAUAGAACUUAAAUGCGUCGUCGGUUUUUGCCUCGUGUCAUCCCUUAUUUUAAGCCAAUUUCUCAAUACCGCCACAGCUUCUUCACAUACAAACACCUUGAGGUUGUUAAGACAUAUAUAAGAGAUAGUAGCAAGUUUGCUAUAUGUGAGGGAGUUUAGGGUGCUUAGGGAAUGGGUAGUGAAGAGAGAAAGUGAGGUUAGUAACUGCCAAAAGAACUGUUUAUAUUGCAACAACUAAACUAGCUCAAAUCUGAUAUGUUGAAGUUACAGAUUAAGCACAGAAAUACAGGAAGGAAAAUAGAACUAAGCCGAAAAGAGAGUAUUUCAUAUAAUAAACACGGCUUCAGUGGAUGAUUUCAGCAGAACCUGUACGUGUAAAAUAGAUUAAGCUUUUGACCCUUCGGGGUGGCCCAGUGGUUUGGGCUUGGGACUUCCAUGUUGGAGGUCUCAAGUUCGAAACCCCUUGCCAGCGAGAGCAAGGGGUUUGCCUUCUGGGUCGAGCUCGUCGCACCGGGCUUGCCUAGUGCGGGUUACCUCUCCUAUAUGGUUUGCGAGCUAUUGCAUAGGAGCGGAGGUUUUACCCUGUACGCUCCCAAAAGGUAGCAGCUGCGGGUUUCCCUUGCCAUAAAAAAAAUAAAAAUAGAUUAAGCUUUUGAUGUUUGUGUUCACACAGUGGUGGUGUUCACAUUUAUUGUACUCUUUAAUUGUGGAUUACCUAUCACUUCUAGAUGAUAACUAAAUAUCACGAGGGAAUAUGAGUUUAUUCCCUGUAUGCCUAGCCAUCUUCAGGGUUGCAAUGGAUGGAAUGUGAAUCCUUCACAACCAUGUUGGAUAAGUGGGUUGGUGCCUUCAAAAUAGGGCAAGAUUUGGCUUGUGAAAGUAAGUGCUAUUCUAGGGCAAGACCAAGCUAGUACGGGGUUAUUGGUACGAGUGUUGCACCAACAACCUCUUCGGGAAAAUAGACUUGGUACCUUCCAUCACGGGAGAAAUUAUUUUCCUAGAGUGAGCUCUAGCAUUAGGUUGAUGCUAAAACUAGUGGCAGGGCGUGCUCAUGGGCCUCAAAAACCGUAAGAAAGACUUGAGAGCAAGCUUCUUUGUGAGAGUUCGAGUGUCGGUGGAGAAAGCCACCAUACCACUGAAUGUGUCUACACACUUUUGCUUCGACUAUUUUGGUUUGAGAAGGUAUUGACAGCAGUUGGAAGUGUUCGGGAUUCUCUUACUCUACUUUCAAUUGACACUAUAGUUUGGUAGGAAACUUUUUUCUCUACAUGAACCAUCAAUUUAUAGUAUUCUUAAUUGAAUUAAUGUUCCAUGUCUGUUUCAUUGCUGAUAUCUAGAUUUGUAUUCAUCUGCAGAUAUUCGCAGACAUGGAAGAGCUUGGAAUUAGGCCAACUGUGCCAGUUGUCACAAUGGUGGGAAAUGUUUUUCAGAAACUGGAAAUGUUGGACAAGUACCAGAAAUUGAAAAAGAAAUAUCCACCCCCAAAGUGGGAAUAUCGUUACAUAAAAGGAAAGAGGGUUAAAAUAAGAACAAAAGAUCUUGAUAAAUCUCAAGAUCAUGAUGUUGACAGUAAGUCUGAAGAGGUAGAUGAGUCUGAAUUCGACGAGAACUCACAAGAUCAAGCAGAUGAAGUUGAUGAAGAUUAUGUAGAGCAAAUCAAAGACGUUGAAGAGUGUGAACCUGGUGAAAUAUCAAUUGUAUCUAGUGAAACAAGGGAAUCCUCUAUGUCAACUUAAUGAUUUGAAUUCCUCAUUCGUUCGACAUUUAUUGUUGUGUUUCCUCUCGUGUGAUGAAUUUUAACUGCUCAUUGUCAAAUGAACCAAGAGGAAAACCCAAAACUAUAGCUGUAAUUUAAGUUAAUCUACCCCAUGACUGCAAUGUAUAUUCAAGUGAAAUGAGAGAGUAAGAACCAAGUGAAGCGAUUUUUAACCUACAAAUAUAUCAAGAGAUGAGUGGUGUAAGUAAGGGUGAUAAAACCUGCCCAAGUUUAGGCUGGUCCCUUCAUUUAUUAAUUCAAUUCAUUUUUAUCUGCCCAUUUAAAAGUUUGAGUUGAUAUAUUAUCAAAAUCGAUCCAUAUUAACCUUGUCAAAAUAUUUUUAAAAAGAUAAUAGUUUUAGUUUGAUAAGUAUAACAAUAAACAGACAAAACUAUAAGGUACUUAAACAAAUUAUAAGAAAACAAAAAGAAAUCAAAACUUAGAAAUAAUUUAGUAAGUUGGGCUAUGAUCUAUUGUUUACUCAUUUUAACCCAAGUGUAAUCUACCCAUUUAUUAGUUCAGUUUAGUCUAAAUCACCCAAAUUCACCCAACCUGCCCAUUUGUUAAUUCAAUCCAAUCUAAACCACUCAAAUUCACCCAAUCUGCCAGUUUAUUAGUUCAAUCCAGUAUAACCCGCUCAAAUUCACCCAACCUGCCCAUUUAUUAGUUCAGACCAGUCUAACUGCCCCAUUUCAACCCAACCUGCCCAGUCUACCCUUUGCAGCAGAAAUGGGUUUGUGGCCGUAAAGGAGCAAAUCCCUUUGAAUCUAUAACCUCAUGCCUAUGCCAAGAGGAAGAUUAUCCAAGUUCCUACAAAGGCGAUGGUUGAGAACACUUGUAGGAACAAUUUUUUUCAGGGGUAAGAAGAGGUGAACUACAAAUCAAUGAACAUGCAGAGUAAGAAAUGUGAAUGGGAAUAAAAAUUGGCCAAAACCAUGUAAAAAUGUUAGGUAAAACUCUUAAAUUAACUUUCUCAAAUUGUGAUCCAUUCAGUGCCAAGAAGCCAACUCUAGAAAAUGAACAGCGUUAUACCAGCAGAUAUUAAAAUACAGACCCCAUUAUGCAAAUCGGAUUUGCCUUGGAACUUACUUUCUACCCUUUCUUCGAGCGGAGCCAUUAGCAAAGCCCUUUCUAUUAGAAUUAUUGUUUUGUUUGUCAGCCUCAUCAUCCUCGUCUUCAUCCUUGUCCUCAUCCUCAUCCUCAGACUCACUAUACUCGCUCUGGUCACCCUCUUCAUCUUCUUCAAUGUCAUCUUCAUCUUCAUCUUCAACGUCAUUCUCAUCCUGCACUCCCCCAGCCACAUUACCACCUCGACUUCCAGCUCUGCUCCUUUUCAAUACUUUUAGUUUUAAGUUUGUCUUUGUGUUGCAGCCAAUCCAUGCGUCACACAUCAAAUGACUGUCUAAACUGUAAUUUCCUGCCUGUGGAGCUUGGAUCUUGCCCAAGAUCAGUCGGCACCCUCUCUUAACUUUCGCAACAGCAUCUUUAACAGCAGCAGCAAUCUCCUCCAUAUUUGCCCCCGAUGCUUCCAUUUUCGCUUCGGUUAUUGUUGAAGCAGUUGUUAUGGCUGCUGCUUCAUCCAUAACGUUGAUACUUUCAGAAAACCAGACAUCGUUUGAAUUGGCAUCUGCAAGUAAAAACCAGAAAUUCUCUCCCUUGGGGAAUGGAUAGUAUGGAGCAUGUGGAAGAGCUGCGAUCAAACCAUUAGCACGUCUGACUGUCACCCAUGCCUGCACAGUGACAAUGUCCCCCUCUUGGAUGCCUUCCUCGCCCUCAGUCUCGCAAGUAACUUCAAUUGUUGCACGAGGCAUCAAUUCUAGCACCUUCUCCACGUCUUGUACUUCAGCAGCGGAUAGGCCAGCAACAUCAGAAAGCAGCUCGGCACGUUCUUGAAGGGUCAUGUCCAGGAGGUUCUGUAGUGUACGCACCUUCCAUGGACAAAAAUGAGUAAAGGUUAUGACUAUGACAAGAACCAUGUCUUGAAUAAUGAUUAAACAACUACAGUGUGGUAAAUAUGAACAGAAGAAAGAAUGCUGCACGUACUCACACUCAAACAACCACACUUUUCUAAUAAUUGUCUAUAGCUAACUUCUCAAGGAACGUCUCUGAUAUGUCUGAAUAGGAAAAGAUGCUUACCUUCUUCGCUAUCUUUGCGAUGACUGCAUCACUAAAAUGUGGAAGCUGCAAAAGCGAAGCAACACCAUCAGAGGAUCCUGAACCUGCCUUCCUAGCACUAAGGGGAACGGCCUGCAUCCACAACAGACGCACAAGAUUCAAUAUUCUGAAAAUCUGAAGCUUUUAUCUUAAUGCGGAUAAUAUGAGGUCGCACACACCUUAAGAUACAAUGAAAAGGAGGCAUGUUGACAGUGACCUACCAACUAGGCCGGUUUGGUCCAGUUAAAACUCCAAGGGGGAUGGAACCGGCUCAAAGCCCCAAAUUAGUAGCUUUUACUAGGCGAGCCCCGGGUUUGUUUGUUUGUAACUUAUUGUUCAUAAUUUUGAAGAAUGUAAGUUAUUACAUUGUAAAAUGUAAUUAUUUACAAAUCUUAAAUUGAAACUUCAAAAAAUAUUAACUGUAGAUGUGGCAAAAUCAGCCCAUGAAAUCAUAAACCGACCAACCCGACCAAAUUUGGGCUGAUUAUUGACCCAUCCAUUUCAGGCCAUCAAAGUUGGGGCUGAUAUGUACCCCACAUUAAUCCAUCAGAAACUUUGUCAAAAUAUUUUUAAAAUAGACAUUUCUUUUAUUUGGUAUGUCAUAUAUACUCAUAUAAAGAAAAAUAAUAAUUUUAUUAGGUACUAAGAAAUUUAUAAAAGAACAAAAAAAGCAUUAAAAUUAGUAAGGCGGGUUGGGUUUGACUCGCCUUUCAACCCAUUUCAGACAAAGUAACUUUUGAAUGGAUAAAUAACCCACCCAUUUAAUAACUCAACCCGUCUUGACCUGCCCAAAUUCAGCCCAUUCCGCCCAUUUGCCACCUCGAAUUAACGGUAGAAGAUUACAGAGAAGCUGAUGAUUAUUCAAAGAAUUCUUCCAAUUGAAACCUCAAGUAUUAUCAAAAUGUAAGUUACUUUUUAUUACAAGCCCACUCGGUCCUGGUCCAUUCCAAUAGCCAGCCUAGCCCGGUCUGCACUGAUUUUGGGCGACAAUUGGGACCAGCCCAGCCUGCCUGGGACAGUUUUGGACCCCAUUUUCUGGGCCUGUUAGGUCGGUCUCCUGGGCCAACCAGUCUCAGUUUCCAGGUCUAGUCAACAUGGAAAAUCUAAUUUGCUCUCAUGUGUAUGGUAGAGAUAGUAGGUUACCUCCCUUUAACCAAAACAUAAUCAAAGUACCUCCUCAUGGAUGUAAAGACUUUGCUAAAUCAACCUAAACUUUAGCAGUUGAAUGACAAAACUAUGCUUACAGUCACUUUAGUAGUAGUAAAUAAGUCAUUGACACGAUCACAGAAGUAUUGCUUAAACAGCACUAGAUGAAAGACCUGAAUUAUGCACUGGGAGAGCUCGACGAUUCCAAUGGCAGGCCUUAGCCAACCAUGUCCCUUAGCAGUGCGUGGCACAGUUGCCAUCUGCAUGAACAAUAAACAAGAUGACCAACUCCAAGUCACAGUUGAAAAAGAGGGUAGAUAAGAAACCAAAAGUUAAAAUUUUAAGUCAACUUAUAUUAGCCAACACAUACUGAACAGCAGCAAAUCAUAUUCAUGUACAAAAAAAAAGGAUGACUAGUUGCAUUAACAUCAGACAAUCUCAACCUAAAAGAAAAGUUGUUUGACAAAAUAAGUUCAAAACUACAUCUAUAAGAUAUCAACUAAACUAUCUAGAACACAUAAUACUGAUUAAAAAAAAUCUUUCAAAGUUCCCACCUAACCGCCAUAAAUAUGCCAAGUAAUGUGAAAUACUGUUCUAAUAUCCUCCUUCUGCCCUCACAAUUUACAUUUUACUAUGAUGCAAACGAAAAGUAGAUAAGGAGUCAGGAUUGUUGAAGUCAGAAAGGAGAAUCUAAAGAAUGGAAACUUGGUUAGGACAAUUCUUCAAAACUUAAUUGCUAAAAAGCUUGUCAACCUAGACUGGCUUAUGUAUGUCAAACCCAGGUCAGUUUCCUGAGAAUGUUACAGUUUGAGCUUGCCUUUUAAUGUCUUACUCUAUUUUCAUAGCAAUUUUAUAGUUAUCCUUUUAUUUACUUUGGAGUGUUUGUUGUGGUUGUUCUAUUUGAAAAAUAAAAGGCGGUAUGUUUUUUAGCAAGAAAAACAAGAGAAUUACUUCCAUUUGGACCGCCUAUUAGCUUUCCCACCAGUAACCUAGUACUUCCAUAGCAAAUUCAAUAUAUCAAAUUCAACUCAAAGUACCGAAAGUCGGCAUACGUGCCAUCUAACGAAUAAUAAUAGCAUGAAACUUAAACUCUCAGAUGUAAAACUGCAUGAUACUAAAAGUAACGCAAAAAUUUACCUUGAUUAGCCCUUCGAGAAGGCGAGGCGUAAACUGCAGCACAUGUUUGUAAUCUUGCUGCAAGUUACUAGAGAAAGUGUCUGCUUUACGAAGUAAAUGGGCUUGAAUCAACAAUUCGGCCUGAAAAAGAAAGGAAAAUAAGCUUACUACAAGAGAUUUAUGGUAAAUACAAAAUGCUUCAAGUAUCAUGAUUCAUGGCUAUAUCUCUUUUGAACUUCACCUUAACAAUAGCAGGAUGUUGUUUCCAAAAUUUUGUUUGUUCCUGCCUGGCAUUCUUACCAUCCAGGUUCAGUUCACUUUUCACAAGUUUGAAGAGUUCCUGAAGAGGUUCAUCAUCAGCUCUUCGAACUGGAAUAUCCAUGAACUCAGCUGCCUUAACGAAUACAUCCAUAACUUUGCUGUCAUUUCAAAUGUCACAAGUCGUUUAAAAACAAUCACAUACAUACUGAAAACACUCAAUAUCAACCAAGGCAAAAUGCUUAAUUUUCAAAGAUUGAGGAAGGAGUACAUAAUUAAAACAUGUCAAACAGCCUCUCACCUUCCACACCUUCUGUAGGAUGUGAUUUUAGUGUGUAAAGAUCAAGAUUGUUUAACAAAAAGGAAACAAGAUAAUUGGAACAAGAUUAAGGACAACAAAGAAAAUAUUUUGAUCAAGAACAAUAAAGGAAAUAUUUUCUUUGGACACAACUAGUUAUCGUUGUGAAUGAAAAUAACUUUUUAUCUGAUGAUGAUCGUGACUUCUAUAUUAUAUAAUAUACCUUUUGCUAUAUCAGGCAAUGUGUCAUUCUAAAAAAAAACAAUAAAGGAAAUAUUUAAAAUGAAAAUUAAACCGAACGUCGGGACCUAUACUUGAUCUUCAAGUAAAAAAAAAGAGCCCUUUACUAAUAAAGUCACACAUGGGGCAGGGAUCGUAACACAAUGCUGGUUUAGAUUGAUUAUGAAGAUGGGAGAUGCACGCUAACAAAAAUUCUUUGCUUUCAAGUAACAUGACUAUAGCAUUGCUUCACAAGACGAAAAUUCAAUCCUAGGAAGUCCUAUGGACAGAUACCUCAGUCGAAGAACAAAUGAAUAUGAGUUGCAUAGACAUUUGCCUUGAACAAUGUUGUAAGGCUAACAGACAAUUGCUUGUGUACACAGGAGAUAAUAUUAACCUUUUUUCUGAAAGGAACUAUAGCAGCCUCAAACAUGCCCUUCAAGAUACCAAAAGAUAUAUCUCCAGAACUCAAAAUGUUGUAAUUAUUAGUUUAUUUAUCCUUUUGAUAUGGUGUUGGGGCCUUCCGUGCACUUCAACUAAUUUCACAGGGUACCUGCUACCUCCCACCAAUACAUGUACUUGGUAACUCUAUCCAAUUUUGACACAAUUGAUAAAAUAAAUACUUAAAUUUCUGACUGGAUGCUCACAUAAUCUUAUCUAGAGGAACCAUAGAAGCUAUAUAGCAAUUACAAAUAGCUGAUCUACAUUGGUUAAGCAUAUGUAGCAUGGAGGGCAGUAAAGAAAUAGAGAUUUAAAUAUCAUGGACAAAAUCUACACACGAGGCAGUUAGUUAAGGAUUUAUACUGAUUUUUGGAUUCACCAGAAGCUAGAGAGGAAAAAUGAAAACGGAUGAAAUCUAACACUUACAGAACUGAAAAAGAGCAGUCCUUCCACCAUCCUUGUCGAAAAUAGGAUUAGUUCUAUUCUGGUAUUUGAUUUGUCAAGGGAUAACUGGGAGCUCUCAACCAAUGGUUUUCUCCAACAAAGAGUUACUAUUUCUUUUUCGGCUGAGGAUGUAUUAAUUCAAAAGGAAGUUUUUGUUUAAGACAUUCUAAGAGAGGUAAUUUGAUCGAGUUAGUAUUACUUCUUCGGUUAAUGCACCAUCAUAUUUUUACAAGAGGCUUCACAACAGAACGUGUCAAAUGUAUAUUUAUGUACUGAACAAUUACAGUGCAUAUGUGUAGCAAAAUAUUUUUACCUUGGAGCCAAGGAGGGCUUCACUAAUUCAAAAUAAGUGACAAGAGUUUCACGCCUGACAUUAUUUCCCCCAUACUUUGAUGCUCUUGAUAGAUAAACAACACCAACCGCCAUUGGCAAUAGUAUAAAACCUCCAAGAAUCCAAAGUAAUAAUAUACCACCAGAUGAGCCAUUAAAAUCAAGCAAAAACUGAGGAAGCGCUAUUCCCAUUUGAAAACCCUACAGCAGGACGUAAUAUUGUUAGAAUCUAUGUACGGAUUUCAAGGCACUGAACAUAUUUCUCUCAUUCCACAGAUAAGGUGACUUGUAUAAUUUUAUUACUGGAUAAGAAUCAACACCUGUCUGCCAUCUGGAUGUCCAUAUUUCUCAAAAUUCUCCCUUGAGACCGGAUCUGUCAGGGCCUGGUAAGCUUUGGAAAUAUACUCCACAAAAUACUUAUGAGCAGCUGAAAAUCAAGAAGAAAGAUUAAUAUAACUGGUAAGCAGACAUCAUAAUACAGAAUGCCCAAUUCUUCAUCAAUUUCAGUUUCUUUUUCCCCCUUUCUUUCUUCUUUUUUAAUCUCUCUCUGUUUGUCUCUUUUUAAUAGAGAGAGAGAGAGAGAUGGAUCUUCAUCAUUUAGAGGUAAAGUGACACACAAACUGCAUCCCAGUAACACCUCUCACCUGGGUCAGGGUUUUUGUCUGGGUGGUAUUGUAUUGAAAGUCUCCUAUAUGCUUUCUUUAUUGCAGAUUCGGUAACUCCUGGUGCUAGCCCAAGAAUACUGAACGGAUCAAAAGCUUCAAUCUGAUUUGAAAGAAAAAGAUCCAAUGUCAGCCAGACCUUUACUUGCAACAUCUAUUGGCUCCUUUUUUUUUCCAAUUCUUUUGGCUGGGUGGGGGGAGGNNNNNNNNNNNNNNNNNNNNNNNNNNNNNNNNNNNNNNNNNNNNNNNNNNNNNNNNNNNNNNNNNNNNNNNNNNNNNNNNNNNNNNNNNNCCAGUGCGGGGGGGGGGGUGGGGGGAGGGGGAAUCACAAAAUAUGUUUCCUAACCAAGGGCAUAGUGAAGGGGGUUCAAUUUAAUUCCUUUUGGCAACACAUUAUACUGUGCAAAUAGAGUUAAAACUUUUUUUUUGUAUAUAUAUAUAUAUAUAUAUAUAAAUGUUUUCGAAUCAUCUUGACAUAAAAGGAGGCUUCUAGUAUAGUGGAAAAGGAGGUUUAAAAUUUACUUGUAAGUCACAAAUUGAAACCCCAUGAGUGGGAAUCUAGCAUUUUAUUGAAUCCCCUUAUAUAAGUUCCAUGCUCUGCAACUGUUCCUAACAUCGAUAUGCAAGGAGAAAAAUCUAGGAUAACCUAUCAAUGUCAUUUAGAGAACUGAAGUAAUUGUAGCAUUGAAUUUCACCUCACGACUACUUUGCUUGAUGCUAUAAACAAGGAAAAUCACAAUGACCCAAAGCAGCAGCACGGUAAAGUUGCUACAUGUUGAAAACUUAGAGAUCUGCACGAGGAAAUUCAAAGAUUAGAAAACAGGAUAUUGGGUCGCAAGACCAAUAACAUAACUCCAUGCAUACAUCCAACAUAAAAUUGUAUACAGAUGCUUGGUUGAUAGCUCACCCUUCGAAAAAUGGAUUUGCGAUAUUUUCCUGAUCGAGAGCAAACUGAACACGCACAGUGAAUACUCUUUUCCUUCUUUGAAGCAACACGAAGUAAUUUAAGUAUUGUAUAGGGUACUAAAGGCAGGGCAAUUAUUGACAGUAUAAAAAUUGGGAACAAGGCACUAUUUUCUCCAGUGUCAGCCAUGAGAACUUCUCCACAGAUAGUCCGCAGAUGCUAUAGCCUGCAAACUAAAGUGAUAGUAAACAAAUUGAUUAGGACUGCACCAAGUGGGGAUAGCAAGCUUAAUUCCAACAAUGACAACUAACUAUACUGCACUAUUUCUAAAGAAUCCUAAUUGUCUUUUAAAGACAGUCAUUUAGUAUUGGAAUGCAAGCGGAAUGGACGUAGAUGAUUCAUAUAGCUGAAUCCAAAUAGUUUCAUAUUGAAUCACAUGUGAUUGAUUCUAUACUGUACCAGCUCCUAACCACAAACAGGCAAAUUUUAAGGAAAACAACUAAAAUUAUCAGCAAAAUUCCGCUCGAUCAACUGAUCGCUUCAUACAUAUAACCUGCGAAAUUAAUGUAUGAACCUCAAUAGCACAGAAACAUAAGUAAACUAAUAUCCUAACAAUAAUCUCUCAAACUAGUAAACUCAAAAACAUUGGGGCAAAUCAUCAAAAAUGGGAGCUUUAGAUUUGCAAGCCUAAGUCCCAUAUAUAUAUAUAUUUUUAAAAGGACAAAUCAAAGUUAUUCAUCUUCUCAGACUACAGUAAAACCCAUAGAAAGACUCUCAUUUGACGCAUCCCCAGUAAAACAAAUAGCAGGAUUAGGUCAAUUGGUGAAAACCCAUUUGAAUUCAAACAAAAUCUUCCCCUCAUAAGUAAAAAUCAAGAAAUUGCAAGAUUUGCAUAAAAACGAAAAGGAGAAUGAGGGGAAAACUUGCCUCUUUACCAGUGAUGGAUUCUUCAACUUGCAAAAUCAGCUAUGAAGAAUGUUGAAAUUGGAUUGAGGGACUACGACUGGUAACCCGAAACGUAAGCCCCCAAAGAUUUUAUUUUUUUCUCGCAGCCGUUUACUUUGUAGCUUGCAAUUGAAAAUUGUGGGUUUUGUAAGGAUUUGACAUUGGCGAAAAUUUAAAGUAAUAUGGAGUAGACUUAACAGAUUUUUAUAAUCUUUUCAUUUGGACUGAGCCAUGAAGUUGAGGGCAAAAUUGUACGAAAAAACUUAUAUUUUCGUCUAUUUUAACACAAGGAAAAUACGUGACUUUCUGGAUUUUUGGCUUGUUUCUUAUGUUUUUCUUUUCUUUUUUUUUGUCUUUUAAGUCAAAAAAAAUUACACAAAAUAAACCAAAUUUUAUUAAUUACUAUUGCUGUCGAAAUGCAUAAAUCUUUUACUUUUAUUCUUCUCUUUCUUUUUUGGAAAAAUUAUAUAAAUGGACCAUAAAAUCCACAAUAAUACAUGUUAAUACUCAAAUCUAAAAUAAUUCAAGAAAUAUGCAUUCUCUCAUAAAUAAUUAUAGACCAUACCACCCCCACCCCAUUAAGGCGGAUGAGUUUCACUUAAUUGAUACUAAAUCAAUAUCAUAUAUUGUAUUGGUAUCAUUAAGGUUUCUUGUUCAGAAAUUACUCAUUAGCCAAUGAUACUAUCAGAGUAUAUUGUAUUGGUAUCAUUAAGACUGAUACUAAAUCAAUAUAUAUAUAUAUAUAUACACACACUCUAUUGGUAUCAUUAAGGUUUCUUGUUCAGAAAUUACUCAUUAGUCAAUGAUACUAUAUGAGUAUAUGUUAUUGUUGUGGUAUCAUUAAGGUUUCUUGUUCAGAAAUAUAGUAUAUAUAUACUGAUUUAGUAUUAAUUAAGCGAAAUUAUCAGUCUUAAUGAUACCAAUAAAGUAUAUGAUACUUAUUUAGUAUCAGUUAAACGAAAUUAGUUGAGAGGGUAUAUAGUGUAAUAUGUUUGUAAUUACUUUGCUUUUAUGGGUAUUUGCUUAGUUUCCCUCUUUUUUUCUAGGUUUGCAGCUAAUUGAAGAUGUCAAUUCUAUUAUUUUAUGAAAACUUACCUAAAUUUCACUAGUUUAUAAGAUAAUUACUUAGAUGCACUUAAGUUUACAAUAUUAUUACGUAUCUUAUCAGACGUUGGAGCGUCCAGAUCGUUCAGAUAUAUGUAUCUCGGGAUACAUGAGUCAAAUUUAGGUGUAAUUUGUUCUAGAUACAUUGGAUCCAAGUGGAUUCGCAUGUAUUUAGGAUACAUACCAAAUCUCGCCUGCCUCCCUUGCCUCUCUCUCAUAUUGCUCGCCACUCUCCUAUGUAUUUCGUAUCUCAGAUACAUGUGAAUUACACCAGAUACAUACAUAUACGUUUGUCUAGUGUGAUUCGCAUGUAUCUGGGAUACAUAACAGAUAUUGCUCGCUUCUCUCUCUAUUCUAGUGUAUAUGGUAGCAAAAAUACUUGUAUAAAAGUGUAUUUUUCUCAAUAUAUUAUAGGAAACUCUUAGUUAGUGGUAAGAUACGUAAUAUUUUUAAAGUAUAGAUAAUAAUAAUAUAUAUAGUAGUGAAGUAUGUCUAAUUAUGUAGUUUCUCCUUAUUUAAUCCUUAUAAAAACCGAGUAUAUAAAUGUAUAUACAUCUUAUAUAUAUAAUAUCGAUACAUUACAUAUACAUGGUCAUUUUGUUGUCAAUUAUUUUUAUUGGCGGUAUCGUCUAUGUAAGAAAAUCAUUUAUUUAUCUUUUUUUUAGUUCGUUUAAAAGAAAUACAUUUUUUCCUGUUGGCUUAGCUACCGGGCACUGAACUUCGCCACAUCUACAGGACUAAUAAUAACAUGGCAGAUGCACUGGCGAAGCAUGACAAAUCCUUAGCUUAUGAUCUUACCACCUAUGUAUCUCCCCCUCCUUUUAUUUCCUAUAUGUUCCUAGUAUAUAUAAAAGAAAUGCAUGUUCUAGCAAUAUAUAUAUCUUCAAUGUAAGAUUAUAAAAUUCAAUAAAGGUCUUCUUUACUUUUAAUAAAUUUUAUACAUGUUAAGUUAAAAUUAAACAAAUACAUUGAAAAAAAGAAGUAGAAGGAAUUAAGACCAAAAAGUGGGUUAAAGUUACGGAAAAGGGUCAAAUAUAUUUAAAAGUCCUGAUUUUUUUUUUACAAUUUAUAUUUACAUCAAAUCAUUUAAUACAAAAUAUAUGUCUUUUAUAAGCCUCUUGAUAUCUCAUUUCUGUCUUUCUGAAUUACAAUUUUGCUUUUUGAGUAUCAAAAGUUUAGGUCAUUUGGUUAUGGUGCUUCUGAAUUUUUGCAAUUUGAUCAAUAUACUAGUGUAAGUUAAAAACUAAGAAUUUUGGCACUGUCUUAAGCUUGGUGCACUAAGUUACUUGGUAGUUGGUAUCUAUUUUGUUGGAAGAAAGCUGAUAUUCCGUGAAAUUAGUCGCGGUGUGCGAAAGCUGGCCCAUAUAUACCCCAUAUUUUAGAUUUUUCACACAUCAAAUUAGUAUGAUGUCGUGGUUAUUUUACACUCUCAUGCACCAAAUUGCAUUAUUUUAAAUCAUUUGGAUUAUAAAAAAUCUAAGUAUAUGGUUAAUUAAGACCAAUUAUUGUUUAAAUUGGGGUACUGCCGUACUGAUUAUUAAAAAAGAAGAAGAUGACAAGUACACAUGCAAACAUUAGGACAAGACAUAGUUUAAGGGUGAGUUCAAUAAAAUGCAUCAAGUUUAGAAGCUGGGUUCUUAAUUUUUUUACUUUUUUUUACAAAGUUAUAGAUUUAUGCGAUCGAAACAAUACGAGUACACAUGCAAGCAUUAUACACGUAUAUACAUACUCAUGCUGAUAUGUACCAAAAAAAAUAAUUCACUCCGAUCAAAUAAUUAUUUCACCAAACAUAUAUGUCAAACUGUGUAAUUAGUAAUUACAUUACACUUAUUAAUAAUUACAUUCAUAUUCAUUCACAAGAUGUUCUUUCAAGCAGACAUGUUUAUUUUAUACAACUUUUUUACCACAUUAUACUGUACAACACAAAUUAAACCAUAUUUUAGAAACUUGCACACAACAUAAUCCAAAAGCCCAAUAAAACAAAAAAACUAUAGAAGUAAAAGACAACACAUAUACGUCCUUGUUUAUUGUGAUACAAGCAAGCAGAGAGCAUCACCAAUUAAAGCUGAUAGACUCAAAAUGGAGGUUUUGUGCCAAGCCAGAAGCACAUAUAUUGGCAACCUCAUGUCUCAUGCUCUUUGGCCCACAAACUACAACUCCAACAUCUGAUGCUUUAACAUCAAAAAGUAUUCCUGUCAUGCAAUUCAAAUAGAAUAAGUUCCUCUUGUGUAAUAAAUAUUUCAAGAACAAUAUUGAUGUGUGCCUAGAGCUACAUAUGACUUAUAAAGGAUGAUAUGCUUAAUUAAUACCUAAUAGUAAUAUUUUCAGAAUAAACUUACUUUUUAGGUCAGGUCUAGUACCAUAAUGCACCUUAGUAGCUUGUACAAUUGACUGAUGAGGAAGGCUUUCCAGCUCCCUUUCGGUACCACAUAAAUUAGCAGCAGGUGAAUUUGUAGGAUUUGUAGGUAUUUCCACAUUCUGAAUUUGUCUCCCUUCAAUUUCAUUCUCCCUUUUUUGCCACAUAAAAAUAACACUAGUGGCAAUAAAUACCGAAGCACAAGCCAAAAACAUAUCCCAAAUGAUUUUCGCGCUGUAAUGAUACAAUUUCCCAUCGCGUUCAAUUGGAUAUAUGGAGUAACGCGUAACGAGGCCUAACAAAAGGAGAAACAUGAAGAACGACGAGGUAAUUAUCGCCCCAAGCCAGAGCCAGCUGCUUUUGCCGAGUGCUGCUGAAAUAGGAGAGUCUUUCGGAUUUUGUUUGAACACUAGUAGUUGUUGUUUCGACUUGGAAGGUAAUUCCAGCUGGUUGUUAUGAUCGUGUUGUUGUGGUUCGUUUUCUCUAGUGACAUAGGCUUGGAUUUGGUAAUCUAAAUUGGAGAUAUCGAAAGGAGUUGUGGAGAAAGGGAGCAAGAGAUCAAGCAUUGUGAGAUCGGAUGUGUUCUUGAAGGAUGUAAUUAAGAUAACUUUUGGUACUUUGGUGUUAGUUUGAAGUGUACUUCUGUAAAUAAGUUCUCGAAAAAUGGAAAUCAUUGGAGCAAUUCCGCUUCCCCCACUCACCAUCACCAAGCACUCUCGACUGAAAUAUAUAUGCCACAUUGUUAUAGUUGGAACUUUGAAUAUACAGUUAUACACACGAAUAGCUUUAAAAAUAAUAAUGUAUAAUUAAAUUUGAAUCUAAAGAAAUAAAAAAUAUCACAUAAAUUAACACCGAAGAAAUAGUAAUUACCUUAAGAAAUGAGAUGAUGAAGGUCCAUAAGGUCCCUCUGUUGAUAUUUGAAGACGAUCAGGAGAAGAAGAAAGUUGUUUUUCUAACUUUUGGCUCCAACUCCCAACGCUUUUAAUUACAACACUUAGUUUAUCUGUCUCCAAAUUACUGCUUGAAACAAUAGUAAAUGGAUGCCACUGCAACUUGGAUACGCUUGGUACAUUCACAAACAAGAUGCUUGUAGGGUUGUACGUUAAUCCUGUUAUAAUUAAAGUAAAAAGAAAUAUUAUAAUUAGUACGUACGUACAACCUCCAUUAACAAUAAAUCUAGCUAGCAUAUAUGUACUACAGUACUACUUCUAUUUCAACCUAAGUACGUACAUCUUAGCUCCAUUAAAAUAUUACGUACAUACAUGCAUCCUCCAUUAGCAUUAAAUCUAUACACAUUUCAUUGGGAAUCGUUCCAAAUUUAGAAAAAGAUCAUUCUUUUAUAAACGAGGAAUAAAUUUUUACCUGGAUUUUUGGAAAAGGUGAGUUCAAAAGUGCUACAAGGUAAAAGUCGUGAAGAAAUUAAUCUAGCACUUCUUUUAGACUGUAAAAAUCUCAAGUAUCGAUCGAUGAGGAAGAGAAAGAUCCCAGGGAAGACCAUACAUGUGUAGGCAACUCCAACAUGCAAAAGAUAGAAGAACAUGUAGAGAGUAUAUAGCUGAUGUGUGUAGAAGAAUAGAUCGAACAUCUUUCUCCUUAUCUUGUACAAACUUGUAACCCACAUUGCUAUUGCAACCAAAAUAGCUAUUUCUCCAGCUACGUUCGAUACGUACGUACUGCUCCAUUCUAUCAUCUGCAAAAUAUUAUGUAUAUUUAUUAAUUAACCAUAUAUGUAUGACAUUAAUUAAUUAGCUUGUUUCGGUUAAAGAUAUACUAUUAAAGGUAAGAUGUUUGGACUCGAGUGUGAGGAUCUAGAGGUCGGAUCCUUUCUGAUCUAAAUUUUAUAAUUUUGGGGUGUGGAAAUUCAGGUAUGGAUACAUGUGCAGGAAUUUGACUAAAAAUAAUUAAAAUAUCUACAAAUAGCAUUAUAUUCUAAAUUAUGAGACAUUAUGUGGAAAACGUACAAGAUAUUUCGAGGAGAAAAUAUUGAACACCAAGAGAAUCCUAGAACAAGACAUAAUAUAUAGAAAAAGGACUAACAUAGAAAUUUCUAUGCGCAAGGUAUUCUAUUUUCUUUAAUUUCAUCUUAGCUUUUGUUUUGUUUAUAGAAAUCAUUGUAUCGAUCUAGAAUUUCUCCAAUCGAUUCUCAUUAAAGUAUUCAAAAUUGGUUGACCAUAUCCAGUACAGAUCCCACAGCCCCACCCACGUGGGUGCAACAUCGAGACUGAAAAGUCCGAGCAACUUAGCUUUAGUAUGUAGUAUUAAGUAAAUAAGAAAUAUGUGUUCUUGAUCUUUAAAUGCUUAAGUUAUUAUAAUUUAUAUGAGAUGAUCAGUGGUUGUUCUGAUCAUUGAUUAGUGUGAUGUUAUUUUAGGUGCACAAUUUGAAUCUUUCCCUUUGGAUAUCUAUACAUAAUUCAAAUUGAAAAUAAUGGAUUCAGAUAAAAAUUACCUCUAUCAUUUGAUUAGACAUGGCAUAGUAUAUGACAAAUCCAGCACUAUGGAGAAGGGCAAGGGCCAUAGAGAGAUGGCCGAGCCAUAUGUGAUAUUUGAUGCUUGAUUCUGAAGUUAACCCCAUCAGCGGCAAAAUUGACGACACUCGAGUCACUGGGAAAAACAAAAACGCAUAACAAAUAUUCCCAAGGUACCCAAGCCUCAACGAUACACUUCGAAAUUUCGCCUUCCACCUAUAAAUUAUUAAUCCAAUAAUCCAAUAUAUCGAUCGAUAAGAUAUAUAGGAUUUAAUUACUCGUAGUCGUAAUUAUUUUAAUUAUUGAUCGAUGAAUGAGUACUUACACUUUUUCGGUAGGAUUGUGCAUAUGGAGAUUACCAUUAAAGCUGAUAUAGAUGUAGUUGGCUAAAGACCAAAUUAGAAGGACGAUAAACAUAACAGCAAAAGAAAGUUCAACGGCGUUCACAAUCCCCAGAGGUUCCAUUACAACCACUUUCCGUUUCAAUGAACCGAAAUAUUCCCUCCCUUUAUUAGUAGUACUACUGCAGUACAACAAUAUAAUUAUUAUACAUUAAUUAAACAUGAUGCCUAACUAUCGAAGAUGAAAUUAAUAAUUGUGUAAUUAAUUAUAACCUGUGAUCAGAAGUUGACUUGUUGUAAAGAUGAAGAUAAACACAGCUCACAGCAGCUAUCAACAUUAUGGGAAAUGUAAAUAAAAGAAGAUUUAUCCCUGUAAAUUAAGACAAUUAGUGAAAAGUUUAUUAGCUAAAUUAAACAUCCUUAUAAAGUUUUCCCAAAAUAUAGCUACAAGGUCAAUGAGUCUUUUGUUCUCCACGAGCUUUUUAGGGUUAGGGCACAAUUCGGAUCCACGAGAAUUCAAGACAAAUUAUAAGCGAUUAAUCUGGAAAUCAAACACGAAGAAGUAAGUAUAACAAUAUGAGUAAAACAGAUAUAAUUACUACCUUGUUCCCUGAAAUAUGUAGAAUUAAGCUUGAUUUUGAGUUGUGGAGUCCAUGAAUUUCUGUAAGUCGGUGUAGGUAACAUCACCCAAAUGAAAAGCCAUCCAACAAACACCAACACCAUGAAAGUAUACAAAACAGCUCUACUUCCCAUCUUUGCAAAAUUAACUGAAUGAUUAUUCUUCUUUGGAAUUAAUUAUCUCAAUACAAGAGAUGCUAUCUAUAUAUAGAAGAAUGUGUUCAAGUGGAACAUCAUGCUUCAUGCUUUUAGGUUUACCUAUUGUGAUUGAUGUAAGCUACAAAUUCCCUUGCGUAGACUUCUCAAGUGGCACUAUUUCUCUAGUUUUUAAAGGUAAGUACUCCACCGUUCCUAAAUACUUGUCAUCCUUACUAAAAAUAAAUGGUCGAUAAUAGUUAUUAGUUUAGAAGAUCAAGACAUAAUUAGAAGUAAUAAGUAACUCGUCAUAUUAUCCUCUAGUUAAAAAAUUUCUUAAGAAUUGUGCAAAACAAAACAUGACAAGUAAUUAGAACCGGAGGAAGUAUAUAGCCGGUGUGAUUAUUAUAAGAUUAUAUCUACAUUUGCCUUUGAAGAAAGAGGAAGAGCCAAUUUACCACUUUUGACAAGGUGAAAAAAGAGUUUAAGUUGAAAAUUAAAGAUCCCUCUUGGUCUUAAAAUAUUACUAGAAAUAUUCUAUACUUCUAGGUUUAGUACUUAUACUAAUGAUAGAAUAUAUAUAUACUUUUUCAAUUUAAAGAAUAUUUUCUUUUCCUUUUAGGUUAGGAUCUACAUUAAGAUCUUCCUAGUAUUAGAAGGAGGUUUGAUAAGGCCAACUUUUUUGUAAGCUAAAUUAUUCUUGAUUCUAGCUAGGGAAGAGACUUUGUAUAGACUAAACUCUUCUUUGAAGAUUGUUAUCUUGUUAACAAACUUUCUUUUGUUUUUGGUUAAAAAGGAUAAUAUUCAUUAGUACAUAGUAGUGGCAGCACGCUGUGUCUGCUUACAUUGUUCUAGCUAGGGAGGGGAUACACUAGUGGAAUUAACAUUACAUAGUGGCAAUACAUUGUGCCUGCAUAUAUUGUUCUGGGAAGGGUUAGUACUAAUAUUACUAUCAUUACAUGCAUAUAUAUAUAUAUCUAAGGCAACAUUUUCCUUGACUGUUCUAACAAAAGUAGUUCCUUCCCAUGUCUGCGUGCCCGCAUCUUGUCCAAAACGAACACCGGUGGAAAUUCCCAGCAAAAAAAGGAGUUUGGUUUCUCCAGCUAGUAAUGUCCCCUCCCCUGCCACCUGAUUAAUUAGCUUCCCUAAAGUUUUGGUGGACUGGGGGGUUCCCCAGCAUCCGUAGGAUACGGGGUUGUCCUCUUUGAGGAAGACUAGUAUGUCUCUGCAUGCAGUCGGUGGUUAAUUACUUCUUUUGUUACAGUGAGGUAAGGUCCAUGUCCCCUCCUUUUGAAUGCUUGCUCUUUAAUGGAUAUAGACUUGGAAACUUCACUAUAAAUAGUGAUAUAGUAAUUGUCUUCUUUUCUAAGACAAGGCAAUAAAUUACAUUGUUGCUAAUUCAUAGCUAAAUGGAAUAAGCAUGAGAUUUAAUUUCUUCCCUUUAGCUAUGAAAUUCUAUCCGCAGCUAAUUUCAUAGUGUACGCGAGGAAUCAAAUCUAGAGAGACAGCUAACACCGCGCAUAAUACAAAUCGAAUUAAGCUUGAAGGGAGUUAUAAUUAGGGCAUCCUAUAUAUGGGCAAAGUGGAGUCAAAGAGGAUAUGCUUCACAUGAACUAGUAAUUACCAAAGAGCAAACUAACCUAAUAUAAUUGGGAAGGGAACCAAUGGAACAAAAAAGGCCAAAUACAAGGUGCAGGUACAAUAAUCCACUACUUGAAACUAUGAAAUUAACUACGAAAUUUAAUGACAAUCUGCCGCUAAAAAACUUUUAACUAAUUGAAUCUUCUUAAAAUCUGUCGCUAAAUGGAAUUAGCAUGAGACUUUUGUUGUUAAGCUAUGAAAUUUUGUCCGUCACUAAUUCCAAAUGGAAUAGUUCCUACUGGACCCAACUCAUGGAAGGCCCCUGAAGAUGCCGUAAAGAAAACUACACAUAGAAUGUAUAUUCCUUUUUUAGUUUAAGAAUAUUUCAGAAUAUUUACUUUUGCCUUUAGGUUAAUUAGAUCUAAAUGAUGAUAGAAUAUUCUACAUUAAUAGUAAGCUAUUUUCUUUUUCAUUUCUUUCUCUUUACUUCACUAUAUAUAUAUAUAUAUAAUACAUAAUAAUCGAUUUGGUGAUAUUCUCUUCUUUUCGACAAGGUAAUAAAUUACGUACGUAAAUGAUUUUGUUUUUAUCAUUCUCUCUUUGUUUAAUCACUUGGAUCUGUUUAUUAAUUAAAGGCACUUGUAGGCUACAUUAAAAAUGAUUUUUAUUAGAGGCAAGUAAUUAAUCGUAAUAAUUUAAUUGCCGUAAAAUAUGUUUUUUUUAGACAAUUACUAAUGACAAUUAUAUUUUAGCACUCUUUAUAAAUGCUGCUAAAAUUUAUAGCGAUAUUGAAUUUAAUGACAAUUAACAUAUGCUGAUAAAGGCUUUGACACUCUUUAUUAAUGUGUAUAUGUAUUACCGCCAAAACUUGUUUUUGUUAUAAACUUAUAAUGUCAUGGAAAAUUAAAAGUUCUAAAGGAAGGUCCCAAGAUGCUCAAAUUUUCACUCAGAAUGUAUUCAUGCAGUGGUGGAGGCAGGAAUUCUAUCAAGGGGGUUCAAAUAAAAAAAAUGUUGUUGCUUGGAAUCGAACCCAUGACCCAAAGCUCACAUAGGCUGAAUCCUGACCCCCAUAAACCACUGAGCUACUCCUUUGACAUAUGCUCAGGGGGUUCAAUUUUAAAUAUAUACACGUACACAAAAAAAUUGAUCGUAUAUAUAUAGUGUAAUUUUUUUUCCGAGGGGGGUCGGAUGACCCCCUGGACACACUAUAGAUCCGCCCCUGUAUUCAUGCAGUAUGGUUCGAGAGAAACCUGAGGACCUUUAGAAUAGCAAACUAUUAUAGUUUUGCUAUGUGUGACGUCCCGCCACUGUGACAGCCCAAUUUCGCAGCCGGAUAGGGGCAGAACGUUCUAGAGUUGAGGAGAGGCUUGCGGAGAACUCUAGAAACCUUUAGAUUUCUCAAGAAGGCCAUGGAAGGUCCUAGACCAUGUAGAUUUCUCUAGAAAGGGACCUUUGUGUAAAUAUCUUAGGGACUUGUAAAGUAAUUUUAAUUUACACUUUAGCCCUUAGUUGGUAGUAUAAAUAGAGGUGCCAACCAUUUGCAAGGCAUCACUCAAGUUGUAAAGCAAUACACAAAGCCUUCUUCAAAAACUCUCUUUUGAUCUUUCUAAGUUUUUCCUUUCAUUCUCUUAGCGAUCUUAGCAUAAAGAGCUUCCUUGAGCUUACAAGAUCUUGAAAGAUAGUGAGUAAGUUGUCAAGAGCCGCACAGAGCGUUAGUGAAAACUCUAAGUCCGUGACAACGUGGUAUCAGAGCGAGGUUUGAUACUAAGGGAAUGGCAACCGAAGGAGACGUAAACGCCGCUAGCACCACCAACGUCCGUUCGGAUGGUGGAAGGAAGAGCCGCAAGGGAAAGAAGCACCAAAAGAGUAAUGAGGAAAUGCUACUGGAGCCUACACAAAGCGAGGCGCUAACAUCUCAACCACCUUCGACCACCGAAACAAGUGACGAUGAACGUGGCGAGGAGCCCAUUGACGUCACCGCUGGAAAGGAAUGGGUCGCAAGAGUUGAAGUGGCGAGGCAGGCCGUGGAGAUAUUAGGCCGACGCAUGAAUGUGGCCGACGGCAAGUUCAAAACUCUUGAAGACUUCACCCUUGAGGAGACCGAAAACAUCCGUAAGGAGUUGGAGAGACGUCAGUGGGCCGAGUUCAAGAUGAAGGAGGCCAUCACUUCUUUGGAGUGUCGGCUCAUGGAGGUGUUAAGUACAAUUGAAACCAUGAAGGCCGAUAUGAAGGCAGUUAAGGAAGGCGUAGAAGCUGAAGGAUCGACGUCACCCGACCGUGACAGGGAGCCCAGGGUCGAGGCUCUCAAGCCACCUAUAUUUAAAGGCAUCCGCGAUGCUCAAGAGGUGGAGAACUUUUUGUGGCACUUAGAGAAUUACUUCAAGUGUAGUCGGGUGAAGAGUGACAAGAACAAGAUUAACACUGUCGUGUUGUAUCUUUUAGAGAUGUCCAUGCUUUGGUGGAGACGCAAGGAAGCCGAGAUAGGGAAGGGGACGUGCACCAUCAACACGUGGGAACAAUUCCGUGAGGAGUUCAAGAAAGCCUUCUUCCCUUACAACGUCAUAUAUGAGGUUAAACGCAAGUUCAGGGAACUGAAGCAAACAGGUAGCAUUCUGGCGUACGUAAAGGAGUUCACAACUCUAACGCUUUAGAUUCCCAACCUCACAGACGAAGACAUAUUGUUCCACUUCAUGGAUGGACUGCAGAACUGGGCCAAGACGAAGUUGGAGCGGCGACAGGUUAAGACCAUAGACGAGGCCAUCACGCAAGCAGAAUCCUUGACCGACUAUAAGCAUGAACGGCAUGACAAGACGAAAGGCAAAGAUGCAAGGAGCAGUCAUGCCAAAGGUGAGGGAGGUCGUGGCCGAGGCAAGGAGCAGCAGGCACACCCUAAGCAGUACGACUCCCACAAGUCGGACAACAAGCGGUUCGUGCGCUAGAAUUACACGGAGAAAAAGGCGCAGACCACCAAGGGAGAUGGUUGCUACAUAUGCGGAGGACCACACGGCUAUGCCAUAUGCCCAAAGAUGAAGAACCUUGGUGCCAUCCUACGCGAACGGAAGGAGAAUGAUGCACAAGAGCAAGGACAGAACGCGGGCACGACGCAGUUGGGCAUGGUUGGACUAUGCAAGGCUAUAGCUAAGCAGAUAGAGAGCCAAGAGACUUCAGCACACAGUAUGUAGACAUCUCCAUUAAUGGAUGAAUAGCUCGUGCCAUGGUGGACUCCGAGGCAGAAGCAAAUAUCAUGACCAAGACGGCGGCAGAGAGGUUAGGGCUGAACUAUGUUCCAAGCAACACCCGCCUCAAAACGGUCAAUGCACCACCGAUCCCCGUGUGCAGAGUCACCCAAGGAGUGAGCAUCACGUUAGGAAAGUGGCAAGGUAAGACAAACUUCACCGUCGCUCAUUUAGAUAUCUUUGACAUUAUUCUUGGGCAGGAGUUCUUCCAGCGCUGCCAUACGAUGAUCGACCCCUACCUCCAAUGACUCAUGGUCAUGGAGCGGGAAGGGUCGUGCAUGGUACCUUUAAUUAAGGUGCCGAAAAAGGAAGGACACACCCACUUGUCAGCCAUGCAGCUUGUGAAGGGGCUGAAGAAAGGGGAGCCGACGUUUUUAGCCACCAUUGCAAGUUUGGAAGAAGACAAUGGUGGCAAGUAAACAAGGACGUGAUGCCAGACGAGUUGUCGAAGACUCUACCUCCGAGGCGCGAGGUAGAUCACAAGAUAAAAUUGGAGGUUGGAGCCAAGCCACCUGCACAUGCACCUUACCGCAUGGCUCCACCCGAAUUAGAGGAGCUGAGGAAGCAGUUGAAGGAGCUCCUCGAGGCCGGUUACAUCCGUCCAUCCAAGGCACCUUAUGGCGCGCCAGUACUGUUCCAGAAGAAUAAAGAUGGAUCCUUACGCUUGUGCAUCGACUACUGGGCGCUUAAUAAGGUAACUAUUAAGAACAAGUAUCAUAUCCCGCUCAUUGCAGAUUUGUUUGACAGGCUUGGGCAGGUGAAAUACUUCACCAAGGUGGAUCUCCAAAAAGGCUACUACCAAGUGCGUGUUGCGGAGGGGGAUGAACCGAAGACGGCGUGCGUGACGAGGUACGGAGCUUACGAGUGGUUGGUGAUGCCUUUCGGCUUAACCAAUGCACCCACUACAUUCUGCACGCUAAUGAACAAGAUCUUUCAUCCCUACUUGGAUCAGUUCGUGGUGGUCUACCUAGAUGACAUAGUCAUCUAUAGCAACACCUUGGAGGAACAUGUGGAGUAUCUGAAGAAAGUCUUCCAAGUCUUGUGGGAGAACCAGUUUUACAUCAAGCGGGAGAAGUGCGAGUUUGCCCAACAUAAGGUGCACUUCUUGGGCCAUAUCAUUAACCAGGGCGAACUAAGGAUAAACGAGGCUAAGAUUCGGGUGAUCCAGGAGUGGGAGGCGCCCACCAAAGUGACCGAGCUACGAUCAUUCCUUAGACUUGCGAAUUAUUAUCGCAGGUUCAUAAGUGGCUACUCCGCGAAGGCCGCUUUACUGAUCGAGUUGUUGAAGAAAAAUAAGUCGUGUGUUUGGAGCGAUGAGUGCCAGCAAGCAUUCGAAUGUCUCAAGGCCGCAGUAACAGAAGAGUCGGUCUUGAUGCUGCCCGACUUUUCAAAAACCUUCGAAGUGCAUACGGAUGCUUCGGACUUUACCAUUGGGGGAGUCUUGAUACAGGAUCGACAACUAAUAGCAUUUAAGAGCCGUAAGUUGAACGAGACCGAAUGGUGCUACACGGUGCAGGAGAAAGAAAUGACAGCCAUCGUACAUUGCCUGCGCAUGUGGAGACACUACCUGCUAGGCUCCAAGUUCGUAGUUAAGACAGACAACGUGGCCACUAGCUACUUUCAGUCGCAGAAGAAGAUCAUCCCGAAACAAGCUAGGUGGCAGGAUUUUCUAGCUGAGUUCGACUACGUCUUGGAGUACAAGCCAGGAAGAGGCAAUGUCAUGGCCGACGCGCUAAGUAGGAAGACCGAACUUGCUGCCAUCACGACAUCCCAUUGUGAUAUUCAAGAUGCAAUCAAAGAUGGCAUACAACAUGAUCCCGAGGCCAAGAAGCUAAUAGAGUUAGCCUCCCAAGGCAAGACUAGGCGCUUUUGGGAGGAAGAUGGCAUUUUGCUCACGACGGGUCGAAGGGUCUAUGUACCGAAGUUCGGGUCCAUCAGGCAGCGAAUCAUUAAGGAAAGCCACGACACACCAUGGGCCUGACAUCCAUGGCAGCGACGAACGAGGGCGCUGAUCGAGGCUAUAUAUUUCUGGCCACGCAUGCGGGACGAUAUCGAAUGCUAUGCGUAGACUUAUCUUGUGUGCCAACAAGACAAGGUGGAGCAAAGACAUUUGGGCGGACUACUAAAGCCACUACCCGUAGCGGAACGCCUAUGGGAAAGCGUGAUCAUUGACUUUAUCACUUCCCUACCUAAGUCCGACGGGUAUGAAACUAUCAUAGUCGUGGUGGACAGGUUCUCAAAGUAUGCUACCUUCAUACCCGCCACAGUCGGAUGCACUGCAAAGGAGGCCGCUCGAUUGUUCUUCAAAAAUGUGGUGAAAUAUUUGGGGAUGCCAAGACAUAUCAUUAGCGACCGAGACCCCCGCUUUACUGGAAACUUUUGGAAAGAGUUGUUCGAGAUACUUGGCACAAAACUUCAUUUCUCCACAAGUUUCCACCCGCAAACCGAACGCGUCAACGCCCUGUUGGAGUGCUACCUGAGGCACUAUGUCAGUGCGCACCAAAAGGAUUGGGCCAGACUCCUAGACAUGGCGCAGUUUUUAUAUAAUUUGCAAAUGAGUGAGUCCACCGGGCGCACACCGUUUGAAUUGGCGACAAGUCAACAACCCCAAACUCCGUAUUCUUUACCGGCUACUUUGAAGGGAAGAGUUUGGGCGCUUACCAUCUUGCCAAGGGAUGGGAAGAGCAACUUGACACUGCCAAGUCCUACUUGGACAAGGCAGCAAACAAGAUGAAGAAGUUUGCCGACCGCAAACAACGUCCCACAGAUUACAAAGAAGGCAACAUGGUCUUGGUGAAAUUCAAUUCAAGACAGUUCAAGGCACUAAGAGGUGUUCAUCAAAACUUAGUACGAAAAUAUGAGGGUCCGUUCAGGAUCGUUGCCAAGGUGGGCAAGAUCUCAUAUAAGGUGGAGUUGCCUCACACUUUAAAAUCCAUCAUGUGUUUCACGCAAGCGUCCACAAGCCGUACCAUGAGGACAAGGAAGACACUAGCCGGAACCAAUCACGACGGGCUCCCAUUACUGUCACUGCCUCGCAUGACCAGAAGAUUGAAGCUAUCAUAGACUAUCAAGCCUAACGAAAGUGGGGUCAACAAGCCAGCGCCAUGUUCCUUGUGCAUUGGAAGGGACAAUCUCUGGAGGAGGCCACAUGGGAGAAAUAUGAAGACUUGUGGCAAAUCAAAGACCAAGUCCGGGAGUUUCUGCAGCAAUGCGCCGCGGUCAUCGCAUCAUCAGGUGGGGGAGCAUGUGACGUCCUGCCACUUUGACAACCCAAUUUCGUAGCCGAAUAGGGGCAGAACGUUCUAGAGUUGAGGAGAGGCUUGCAGAGAACUCUAGAAACCUUUAGAUUUCUCAAGAAGGCCAUGGAAGGUCCUAGACCAUGUAGAUUUCUCUAGAAAGGGACCUUUGUGUAAAUAUCUUAAGGACUUGUAAAGUAAUUUUAAUUUACACUUUAGCCCUUAGUUUGUAGUAUAAAUAGAGGUGCCAACCAUUUGCAAGGCAUCACUCAAGUUGUAAAGCAAUACACAAAGCCUUCUUCAAAAACUCUCUUUUGAUCUUUCUAAGUCUUUCCUUUCAUUCUCUUAGCGAUCUUAGCAUAAAGAGCUUCCUUGAGCUUACAAGAUCUUGAAAGAUAGUGAGUAAGUUGUCAAGAGCCACACGGAGCGUUAGUGAAAACUCUAAGUCCGUGACAUAUGGCUUUGUAAUUUUUAUAUCUUGAUAAUUAAUAAAAUGUUUGUUAUAAAAAAAGAGUUUAAGUUAUAUGUAUGAUUAGUGUAAGAAAAUUUUAUACUAUCAAGUUUGAUUUUAUUUGUUGUACCUCAUGUAAUUUGUUUUAUUUUAAAUAUUACAAAUUUCAUAGCUUAGAGCAAGUUCUCAUGUAAAUAAACUAUAGGGGACCUGCUAAAGUAAUUUUACUUUGAAAUUUAAAAAAUAAAGUUUUUAAAAUAUUUAACACUUAAUAAUUAAUUGAUAAACAUGUCGAUGAAAAAGAUCAAAUAUCUUGCAAUCAUAAUUAGUUAAUGCAAAUACCGGGGUGAGUAAAUUUUAUCACCAAAAAUUCCAUAAGAAUUAUGAGUCAAAAGUGCAUUAGAAAACUUAAUAUGCAUUAGUAAUUAGUUGGGUUUAUUAUUAGUACCUUUUUUUAAUUUAUGUAUAACUAAAUAUUACGGUAUGUAUAAUUAAUAUAUAGAAAUUCAUAUUAUUAAUAAUACAAGAGAUUUUAAUGCAAUACAUACUAUUUUUAAUACACAAUUAUUCAUCAAAACUUUUUCCACAUCUUUUCCAUCAUAUUUAUAGAAAAUAUUUUUUGUAAGCAAAUAUUAUUUCGUUUAGAAAUCAUGCUUAUUUUAAUACAGCAAAUCAAACAAUGCUUAAGAAAUAAUCACAUUAUAACUAAUUUCAUCAUUAUUAAUGUCAUCAAUCAUCAUUAUUAUUACAUCAUAUUUAACAUCAUUCUUAUGCACCCUACCAAACAACUCUCAGCCGAACCCCGUGAAUGAAUUAAAAUUAUUUUCUUGACAACUUACUAAGUACUAAUCCUAGGUUGGAAUAAUUAAGUUGACAAAUUGGAUAGCAAAUAGGAAGGAUGCAUUAAUAUUUUAAAGACCUAUAGAUGAUUUAAUUAAGAUAUCCUCUACUACUCAUAAAGUAACUGGAGAAUGAAAAAUUCCAAAAUUUCAGAUGGUACUACUAGCAUUGCAAGUACAGUUGACAUAAAAUUGCAGUACACAACUUUAGUAGUACUCUCAAAGAUUGACAAUCUUAAUAAUAGCAUGUCCACGUUUUUGGGAGAUCAAAAAUACUUAUUUCUUAAAAAUAAGGGAAAAUAGUCUGAAAAAUACUUCAACUUUGAUCGAAAUUGCUGUUACGAUACCAAACUUUAUGGGAGACCUUUUACCCCCCUUCACUAUUUAAUAGUAUAUUUUAAAGGUAUAUAUGUGCCCACGUGGACACAUUACUAUUUAUAAUAAUGCAAUAUUUAUGAUGUCCACGUGAGCACAUAUAUACCUUUUAAAAUACACUAUUAAAUUAGUGCAGGGGGUAAAAAUGUCCUUUUCCAAAAGUUCGGUAUUGUUACAGCAAUUUCGGUCAAAGUUCAAAUAUAUUUCAGACAUUUUUCCCUAAAAAUUAGAUAUUUAAUCAAACUUUAUUUUUAGGGGGGUAAGUGUUUGUGUGGAGCAAUAAAAGUCAUUCUUUCAGAAGCUAAAAACAAAGGGUGUGUUUGAUAUGAAGGAAAACAUUUUUCGGAAAAUGUUUUUUAAUUUUCACAUGUUUGGUUGGGUUAAAUGUUUUGGAAAAUGUUUCCUAAAUCAACUCAUUCCUCAAAUUUAAGAAAAAUGACCUCCCUUCAAAAAUUAAAGAAAACAUUUUCCAAAACUCUCAUCCAACUUCAAAUUACAAUUAUUUUUGUUUUGAAAAAUAAAUUUAAAGCUUAUUUCAAUUUUUUUUAAAAUAAUUUAUAGUUUGUUUUUAAAAAAUAUUUCUAAUUUUUAUUUUUUCACCCCACCCCUACCCUCGAAUCACCCCCAUCAGUCCCCACCCCCCUCCAAAAAAAUAAUUUUAAGUUUGUUUUUUUAAAAAAUAUUUUCAACUUCAAUUUUUUAUUUUUUUAACCCCUCAAAAAUAUUUCCAAUUUCAAAUUUCUAUUUUUCCCAAACAAGCAAAAAAAAAAUUGAUGGACAGAUAAAAUGAAUUAUAAGAUGAGAAAAAAAAGAGGCUAUUGAUUAACUAAUUACAGGAUCAACACUACAAACCUUUGAUACAAUUAAAAUACGUAUUGAGCUUGUUUUAAUGAAACAAUGUACACAAAACCUUAGCUUGAUGUAGUAAAAGAUAAUUGUGUUGUUGUCAUGGUCUGCCAUAUUAAACGGAAAAAAAUAAAUUUUAUAUAGAGUUCAAAUAAAUUCUUUAUCAACUUGGGUUGAGAAUAUUGAUAUUGUUAUUAUUGUUUACAAAACAAUAGUAUGAUAUAAAAAGAAAAUGUCAAUACAAAUUACAAGCUGACCGAUGAGGGAUAAGUUGAUAACUAUUUAAUAAUAAUAUCACUCGCAAUGUUGAUAGGAACGUUAAUAUAUUUAGUGUGUUUUUAUAAGUGGCGUUUGAAAAAAAAUGGAAUACACACAUAUUUUUAUUUUUAAUAAAUUGAGAUUAUUUUCGAUAGAUCUUUGAUUUAAAAAUGAGAAUAGAUAUUGCUAUUUUUUUUUUUGAAUAUAUAGAAUAGGUGGUUAAUAACCAAAUUCUUUGUAGCAUAAUUAUGUUUAUGCAAAAAGUGGCUUCCUGACUCCUGAGGAUGCAACAAAGAGUCAAUGAUUUUUAUAUAUUAUAAGGUAAAAAUAUAAGCUAACAACAAAAGAGAAAAGAAAAAAAAACAAAGUCAACAAUAACUACUUAUUUAGGAUUACGUAACUUAGACACCUCAUUAAUUAAUUAAAAGAGGAUCUAGUGAAAGGCUAUACUUGUUAUUUGCUGAAUAUCCAACUAAUAUAUAUAUCUGACUUCAGAUUUUUUGAAAAUAUAAUAAUAAAAGUAAACUAAUCGAGCUAUUGAAAUGGUAAAAGUUUAUUCAUAGUCGGUGUUAUAUCUAUUGGAGAAACAAAAGAAAUAUAAUUAUAAUGUUCUUCAUUUUAGAACUACCACAAUUAUGUAGUAUUAUUCUGUCUUAUCAUGCCCAUAUUUAUAUAUGAAAUCACUUACCUUUUUUCCGGACAUAUUAUGCAAUACCAUCAUAUUCGUAUCAGGGAAUAUAACGAGCCAAAUCAAAUGAGAUGACCAUAUGAAUUUUUAUUAAAAUCAUAUCAUUUGUUUGUCAUUAUUAUAUUACUACUAAAUUAUAAUCGGUCGAUUUUCUUAGCGUCAAAAAUCGAAGAAAUGCAAGCCAAUCUCCCGAGGAUAAAGAUUGCAAAAAAAAAAAAACCUCUUCAAUUUGUUUGAAAAGUUUUUUUGAAAAAAAAAACUAUCUCGAAAAGUCAAUUUUUGCAAAAAAAAAAUAUUUUUUUACGAAAUAUAAAUUUAAAGAAUACAAGGAAAAAUAAUAGUCUUUAAAUCAAUAAGUAUCAAUGAUAAUGAAAAUGAUAGAAAUAGAUCCUACCACAUAGAAGAUGGGAAUUCAAAUCUAGGAUGGUGCAUUUUAUUAGUUUAUAAUUUAAAAAUCGACUUCAUGAAGUGUCUUCAAUUGUGAUGAAGAAAAAUAAAAAUAAAAAGGGAGAAAUAAGAUAUAAAAAAAAGAAGAGAAAAUGACCUUUUUAAUUUUUUAAUGAAUAAAGAUCUUUGGUAAAAAGAUAUAAAACUAUUUUUUUAAUUUUAAUUUUUAUAAAUGACCUAUAAAAUCGAUUCUUCUCAAUAAGGUUGUUUUCUCUCCUUCUCGUCUCACUUUUUUCAUGUCUUUUCGUUUUUUUUUAAUGGAGUUAUAUCUAUAUAGCUUGAAUUCUAAAUUAUAUUUAUAUUAUAUAAAUCUACAAUAUAAAAUUCCUUAUAAGAUCAAUCAAAAUUUAAUUUGUAAUCAUUUUAGACAAAAAAUUUAUGACAUAUUGGCAUUAUUCCUUUCCUGGUUUGGUUACUAACACCUUGUUUGGAUGGUUUUACCUAUUGUAGUGUAUUGUAUUAUUAGUUUAAAUACAAAUAUUUGUUUUAAUUGUUAUUUAAAUUUUAUUAUAUCGUAUUGUUUAAAUUCAUUGUUAGAUAAUAACAAAAAUCUCUUUUUUAUGUAACGACCGAUUUGAUGUGAUCGCAUCGUUACUUAAUAUUUUCUUCUCAAUUUAUCUUUAUUUAUAAUUUAAUAAUUAUGUUUAAUCUUUUAGCAUAUCCUUUCAAAGUAACUCUAUACUCUGUAUCGUACUUUUUUUCUUGGCUUAUCAUUCAAAUUAUUGAUAUGUGACCUUAUAUAAUAUUGAUGGAGAACGAUACAAUCUAUUCAAACAUUCUAUUCAUUAAACAAUAUAGUUCGAUAUAAUACAACACAAUACAAUACAUUAUGAAAUAAUACAUAACAACCAAUAAACAUAAAAAUCCCAUAAGUUGUAAAACUAUUAAAAUAGCCCCAAUUGUUUAUUCAAUCUUAUCAAAUAAACAAAAAUUAUAAAAUCGCAUAAUAAAUUAUUACAAAGUUAUUUGUUCUUCACUUAAGUAAUUGUUUCAUCUAAAAAAUUGAACAUAAAUUGUACUUGAUAUGCUCAUAUCUCUCAACUACUCUUACAAAUAACCUAUAAAGUAGAAAAAAAACAUACAUUAGUGGGUAAAUAUUAACUUAGAAGUUAAAUACACUAAGAUAAAAAUUAACAAACAUCACUGACUUCUAACUAUUUACAAGAAAAAUCAAUAGUUAAAUAUUAUUGAAUAACGAAAUUUUAAAAAGUUACCACAAGUUUGAGUCAAAAACACUUCUAAUAAAAUUUAAUCAAAAAAAUUAUAACUAGUCCACUUGACUAAAUAUUAAUAACUAAUUGAUCAAAUUUUCCCAAGUCCUCAAUCAAUUGGACUUGAUAUUCUUCAGUCAUGUGAACGAACAUUUUGAAAUACUAAGAUUAAGAAAGUGCGGCACCGCCAAUGAAAAUUGUCUUUUAUCAAUAUUAUGCUUAGUCAUAAGAUUAAGACGUUUUUUUUAUUAUGAAAAAUAAAGAAAGUGUUACUCCCUUCGUUCUUAUUUAUAUUCACCAAAUGAAUUUCUACUUUAUCAUUUAUAUUCACCAAGUUUAAAGUAAUAAUAAAUUUUAUAUUGGUGAGAAUAAUAAAUUUUAAAAAGUAAUGAUGUGAUUAUAAAUUUUAUUUACAUAUGAAAUAAAUGGUUAGCAGAUAUAAAUGUGGGGUUGUUUUAACAAAAUAUUAACUCAUGGAUCAAAUAUUGUAUUAAAAUAUCUCAAAUCAUGAUAUGGAAUCACCAUGUGAUUCCAUAUCAUGGUUUUUGGAGAAUAUGGUAUCACCUCUCAUGAUAUGGAAUCAGCGUAAAAUCGCAUGUCCAAACGCUGAUUCCAUCUCACGACACCAUAUCGUGAUAUGGUAUCGCAUGACCAAACGCCUACUAAAUAAAGUGGAAUUAUAAAAUACUGUGGGAUCGUUUGGUAGAGUGUAUUAGGAAAAAUAAUGCAUGUAUUAGCCUUGUGUGUUACUAGUAUCUUGUUUGGUACUCUUUUUCAACCUAUGUAUAACUAAUGACACUCUAUUGUGUAUUAAGGUGUGCAUUGCUAAUACCAUGGAUUUCUAGAUAUUAGCAAUGCAAUGGUUUUAAUGCAUGUAUUAACAUGAUAAAAGACUCAAUUGCUCCUCAAAACUUUUUUUUACAUCUUUUCCACCAUAAAGUGGAAGGUAUUUUUGUAAUUAAUUUUUUUAAUGCAAUACAUGUUAUUUUCAAUGCAUUAAUUGAAAUAAUGCAUUGAAAUAAUCUAUGUAUAAUUAAUGCAAGUAUAACUAAUACAUGCAUUGCUAAUAUAAGCAUUACUAAUACACUCUAUUUAACAUUAUUCUUAUAUACUCUACCAAACGACCCCUGUAGGUUAUAUCAGGAUAAGUUAUCCCUACCAAACAAUAAAAUAAUAUAUCAAGAUUAAUAUCCCAAUAAAACGAUGAAAAUGACAAAAAUACCCCUAAGAUUCCUCAAAAAGUCCAAUUUGUCCUCGACCCUCCAUGGCUACUAGUGAUAGUGAACCAAAAUUAAAAAUCUCAUCCCUACCCCCUUCAAUUUUCAUCCAAUUCUUUUCCUUCAUAUUCCCUUCUAUCUGUUGCCCAAUUUCAAGAAUCUUCUCCUCUUUGCCCUUCUCUGAUUCUUCUCUUCAAUUGCCCUGAUAAGCUCAUCGUAAACAUGCGUUCGGAUUCCGGGUCGGGUUUUCCAUCGUCGGUGAGAAUUUCUGGGCUCAACACCACCGGAAAAGGUGGACCAGCGUUUGUUGGUCAGGUUUUUAGCAUGUGUGACCUUUCCGGAACUGGUCUUAUGGCUGUAUCGACCCACUUUGACAUACCCUUUCUCUCCAAAAGGUAAUCUUUGUAUCUGUUUUUCCAAUUACCUUUGAGUUUCUCUCGUACUAUCAUGUCAGAUUAUGUUUGAAAUUGAUAUGGAUACAGUCAAGUUGUUAUCUUUUUGCUUCCUUUGCAAUGUUUUUGGCAUCAGUAGGAACUGAGAGAACAUUUUUUUUUUUUUUUUUUUGAAACUAACUGAGAGAACAUUAGUGUUAGGGGGAGAGAACAUUAGUGAUUAGUUGUCUAUAUUCACGGGAGUACAAGCACUUUGAGAAUGAACACAGUUUAGUAUUGUACUCUGGGAUGGCCAGAAUGAGAAGCAGCUAAAUGGUUUUUUAGGAAAAAAAAUGUGUAGUAAAAAAAUCAUAAAUGUGACUUCUUGAAUGCUAGCACUCAGAAAGAGAGACACAUGGAAAGAAAAUGAAGAAGAUGGUCUAAUUACUCUGGAUUCAAUAAACAAUUAUCUAAGUUAUGGUGCACUCAAUGGUGUGGCCUAGUGGUUAGUGAGGUGGGUUGAGCACCAUGAGGUCUCAAGUUUAAUUCUUAGCAGAGACAAAACACUAGGUGGCUUCUUUCCAUUUGUUCUAGCCUUGGUGGAUUGAGUUAUCAGGUACUUGUUACUUGUGGGAGGUGAUAGGUAUCCCGGGGAAUUAAUCUAGGUGCGCCCAAGCUGGCCCAAACACCACAGUUAUAAAAAAAAGAAUUGAUUUUUUUUGAAGUUAAGGUCAUAAAGCAUUGAAAUAAGAAUGAAGCUUUAAGAAGCUCUAAUAUGAGUUCAUCACUUCAAAGUUUUACCCUUCGGAAGUGUCAAUAAUCACUUUUUCCAGAAGAAGUCAUAAGGUUGUUCUGACUUCUUCAAUGGCUUGGAAGAUUGCUUAAAUAAGUUUCAACUUUUCUGACUUUUUAUUGAGGUAGUGACUGGAGAAUGGGGGCAUUAGUUGUUACUAGUCAUUAAUUCAUCUAAGACUCCUAAAGUCUUAAGAAAGCUAAUCAGAUUUUGUGCUUAGAACAAAGUUUAGAUUGCUUGCUCAGUAAACUUGAAACCACUCCUAUCAUAAUCGAAUGUAGAGGAAUGAAUGGAGCAUCUUUCAUAACACUUAAAGGCAACACAAUUAUUGCAUUUAAUAGUGGUUGUGAAGAGGGUAAGAACCGAUCCUUACUCGAUUAAAAUAGAAGUUAUGUGUAAGAAUUUAUACUGCUGAAAAGCUAUUGUUGAUUAUGGGUACAAAACGAUAUUGCUGAGAAGCCAUUGUUGGUUGUUGCUUUACGACUCAAAGAACUCUUAUGCCAUCCUCCAACUAGCUUUUCUCCUAAUAGAUUCCUAAUAUCUGUUUAUCAAGAUUCGCCAUCAAGAGAGGAAAAAUGUUUACCAUCUUAAUUCAAGACCUAUUUUGUGGACAAAUAUUGCAAUGAAAUACAACUAUGGUGAAAUAAAAGUUACAUGUAGUAGUUUUUCUUAAAUCACAUGUUAAAUAGCCUUGUCACGAAUAAUGUGAAACAGUUGUCUCUUUCACUUCUGCAAGUAUCUUGCGUAAAAAUAUGAGUCUAGUGAUAGAUGGGGUCUUUAGUAUUAUUUACUGACAUUUUGUUGAUAAUCUUGUAUGCAAAUUCCAUUUGAUCUGCAGCUGCAUAUUAAAAACCAUUACGGUGGGUCCAUGAAGCAAGAGGUGUCUUAUCUUUGUUUUAGAUCUUUUAUUUUUUGGGUCGAGUAAACUACUUGUGCUUAAUAUGAUUUAUGACCUGAGCAUGCAGCUGGAAAUCAUAUCUUAUUUGGUAUCUGCUGAAGUUUUGAUGGAAUUGGUUGUCAUUAACAAGUAAAUUUCUUAGCUGGCCAGUGUAUAUAUAAUAUUUGCACAGCGUAUAGUGAUCUUUUAUAUCAUUAUCUUAUCUUCACCAUAUCUUCUCAUACUAGAUUGUAGUUCAAAAAUAUUGUAUGUUGAGUGUAUAGUGUCACUCAUAAGAUUAAUUUCGUGAUAUCCAGGACUCCAGAAUGGCUGAAGAAAAUGUUUGCAGCAGUUACUAAGAGCGAAAGAAAUGGUCCAGUAUUCCGUUUUUUUAUGGAUCUCGGUGAUGCAGGUCUUAUUGAACCAGUUAGAUAUUUAUUUCUGUUUUCUAUAUGGUGCCGCCACUCUCCCAGGAAACAUGUUAAUCUCAUGGAUGGAUACACAUUACUGUUUUUUUUUUUAAUAAAGUGAUAAGAUGCCCGUAACUAUAUAUAAUCAAUGAGCUCUUUAGGUCCUUAGCUUACACCAAUCUUAGACCAUGUAAUUCAAACUCUUUUUAUCUUUUUUUAUCCAAAAAAUCAUGUAACUCAAACUCUUUCUUUUGCUUAUAAAAAAGAAAAAAGAGAACUGAUCAAGUUCAUGAAACUGGAACCUUUCGUUUAUUUUUUUUUCCCUCGAACUGAAUAAUUCCUUGACGGGGAAGUCCCUCAUAUCCUGUUUAAUAGGGGUUUGUCUGUUGAGAUCUCUUACAUGCUGCCUUUUUGUUUUUCCAGUUUCUUAUGUUAAAAAGCUGAAUAUUCCAAGUGGAGUGGUGGGGGCAUGCCGUCUUGAUUUAGCAUAUGAACAUUUUAAGGUACGUUCUUGGUCAAAAUUGUGAAUAUGAUUGGUAUUUUGUUUUGAAAUUGGAGCAGUUAUUUUGCGGAGCUUAAUUACCUCCGUUUGUACUAAAAGGGUACUGAUUGGUUCAACGGAUAGUACGCUUACUUCACUAUCGUAUUCUAAUAGGAAUAUUUCAAGUUUUAUAUUUCUGAUCAUAAUAUCUGCUGGUGAAUAAUUUACAGUAUAGCCAAGCAAAUGUCAAAAGCAGAUCAUUAUCACCACACUGCAUUUAAAUGGAAAAGUAAAGAAAUAUGAAAAGAACAAAAACACAGAGAAGGGAGUUUUUGGUGGGGGGGGGGGGGGGUCAAUGUAGGAAUUAAGGACGCUGGAGUUUUUAAGACAAGUUCAUUGUUAGGUAAAAGAGGUUAAGAUCCAACAACAAGAACUUGUAGAAGAAACAAACAAACUAAUUUUGAACAUCAAGGAGUUGGAGAGAAGCACCACAAUUUGUGUGGGAGAUCUGGGAUUAGAAUCAUAUUGAAUCUAGUACUGAUUUAUGGUCUAGUUUGAGACUGAUAAACACAAACUAAUUGAAAUGUUGUUUAGGACAUAUUCAUCUCUUUGUACUAAACCCCCCCCAAAAAAAAAUAAAAAAAAAUAAAAUUGCAUGACAACAUAUUAUAUAGGCUUGCAAUAUCAAACACAUUGUAGUGAUUUAUGCGUAGGUAAACAUAUAUCUUUUUGGUUUUACCUUGAAUUGUUUUCUUUCCCUGUUGCUGAAUGAUAGCUUAAAGCCUUAAACUAUUCAGAAGGAAACAAUUUAUUUGUGUGAAAAAAGGGGUCAUAUUUGCUCCUCUUCUAUUGAAAAAGGUUUAAUAUUGCUCUACGUUAUACCAUCGGUCCAUAUAUGGCCGUAAUGUUAUAAAAGUUAGUAAGAGUAUAUAGGGCCGACAAUAUAAUGGAGGACAACAUUAAAUGCAAUAGUGGAGGGGCAAAUAUAACCCUUCUAAUUUGUAACAUGUCCCCUCGUGUGUGGAUUGAUUCUUCUUGGGCCAAGCAUGUAGAAAUAUUUUGUUGAUACGCGAACAAAAACGUUGGAUAUUUGCCGUUCUAAUACCAAGUUGAACAGUGUGAACCACAUCAUUUAAAAACGCAAGUGGUUAAAGAUGAGGAAUUUGAAUUUGUUUAUUAUAGGUCAAAACAUGCAUGUUAAGCUAUAAGAUAUCAAUUAUGCUUGACAUUUUACCUGUGCUUGUGGGAGGUAGCAGGUACCUCGUGGAAUUAGUCGAGGUGCGUGCAAGCUAGCUUGCCAUAUGCCUUCUUGGAUCUCUUCUAGGUAUAUAUGGAGGAAAGUCUUAGACCUCAGUGACAUACCGUGCAGACCUAGGUCUAAAUCGGAUAAUAAAUUAUAUUACUAGUGGACUGGACUGUCACAGAAAUAAGACAAACUUACCUUGUGUGCUAUCUAGAUCAGUGAAGCUCUCAUCAUGACUCUGUAGUUUGUGGGUUGAUUAAUAAGAGAUGUGAAUUUGCUAGUUCUGAAUGGUCCAAGACAGUUUUGAGCAAAUUGAUACCUGUUAGAGUCUAAGGAUUCCCUUCCACCUGAAAAUUAUUUGUAGUAGUACAUGUACCAGGUUCUGUCGUUGCCUCUAUUUACUGUAACUUCAGGAUGUUAUCAUCUCUUCCAUAAACAAUUUUACCACCUUAUUAUUUUUUUUUGCAGGAAAAACCACACUUGUUCCAAUUUGUUCCGAACGAGAAACAGGUUUGAUGCUGUUUUGAGAAUCAACUGUUAAAGCUACUUAUUCAUCAGCUUAAAAUCUCUGCAAAUAUUUACUGCACAUUCAGGUCAAGGAAGCCAACAAACUGCUUAAGGCAAUGCAGCAGUCUGAUGGAAGGAAAAAGGUGGACGGUGUUCCUGUUUUCAGUGCUCAGAACUUAGAUAUUGCGAUAGCAACUACAGAUGGUAUAAAAUGGUAUAUUUAUCUUCUUAUGCACGAUCACUUGUAUUUCUGAUUUGUGAUAUCUGGAACUUCACUUAUAUUAUCGUACUAGCCUUGUUAACUAAAGGCCACUUUGGGUUGUUGAUAUAUAACAGUGUCUCAAUAAGUCUAUACUAGUCUAUGACUGCAUGGUACAAACAUCUUUAGAUUCAUGGUCAUGGUAAGAUAGCUGAUUGGUCCCUUCAUCCCUAUAAAUUUGUUUGCCAAAGGAACCCAUCAUUUUUUUCAAAAAAUUGAAAUAAAUUGUCAACCGGAUGAAAUUUGUUGUGAUCUUGAGAAUUACGAUUAACAAGGAGAUGAGAGUUAUUUUGCUAAUUUAAUUCAGAACUGUGAAAGAAUCUGCAACAUUCAAUCAAAACUGCAAAGAGGGUGAUACCUUUGAUUUUCGUAUCUGGUUUGUAUAUUAAUCAAGAAAUGAAUUAACAUUAAUUUUGAAUAGCCUCCUAACACUGACUGACUCAGCACAGUGCAAUGUAAGAUCAGACAGAUGUUGAUCCACUUCAAGCAGUGUAUCACUUACAUGAGUGAGACUGAACCAUAGAGAUUAGGAUCUACAAUGGAACUUGACGUCAAUGAAUGGAAUGAAAUAUAAGUCAAGCAUUUCUUAGAGUCCCACAUCCGUGUAUUGUUUGCCUCCUUAUAUGGUCUUGGGAAAUCCACCUCAUGAGCUAGCUUUUAGGGUUGAGUUAGGGCCAAGGUGCAUCUUUUACAUGACCAAUUAGCUAAACAUGUUUAACCUAAUAUUCAUAUUGAUAUUAGUAUUUAGGUAGUACCGGGCAAAAACCAUAUUAACAAUGGAGGAAGGUAAAAAAAAAAAAGAACUUCCAAAAAACUGUUCCCAACUCUAGAUGGACCCUAAAACAUCUAGAAUUUGACUUAGUCUCAUUAGAAUAAACAUUUGUUCACCAAAAACAGAAUAACAAAAUACAUUUAAGUUUAAUCUCCUGCACAUUGCUGCUCCUGUUUUCAGAACAUCUGUCAUUCCUCUCUCCAUACAGUCCACCGAAUGCAGGUAGGAAUAAUCCUCCAUCUGUCUGGGCAAGUAGACAAAGAGGAAUCUAACUGAAGGAACAGGAUGAAGCAGCAAAUUACAUCGAAGAAGAUGUAAUUCCUUUGAAAAUCUAGUUACCAGUUGAGGAGGCUGUUCAAGACACCAACACUUCAGAAUGGAUUCAAUAACACAUCAUCAAACUAAGUGAAAAGGGUUAGAGCUUGAUGCCAAAUUCUCCAUUAUUUGAGAUGUGAGAAAAAAAUGAGUCAACAAUUGGUGAGGAGUCCAGUAUGUGACUAGGUUGGCCAGCUUGGCGAAAUGUGCGAGAAAAUAGUCCAUCAACUGUAAAACCUUACGACGAGCCAAAAUUUGGUCACGCACCGAUCAAGGUCAUUAGGAAGUCUAGCAAGUGUGCGAUCUAGAAAUAUCGUCAGUGAUUGCUCAUGUUGCUUUUCAACACUAGUAGUAUUUGACAUCAAUUUCUUUAAUUCCUUUGUGAUUCCCUGUACCCGUCUCAAGUAAGUAGAAAUACCCUAUUCCCCUUUCUUUAAGUUUAUCAUUUGAGAUAUACCAUAUUAUAAAAAUGAGAUAUGUCAUUAGUGUAUUAAGUGCAAGCCUGAAUUGGGUGUAGAUCUUAAAGGGUGCGAUGAGAAGGCCAAAAAAUUAUUUAUGAAGAUAGACAACAACAAUCGGUUGAACAAGGGGGAGCAAGCCAUUGUAAAAAAGAAGGGGGUGAAUGAACUGAAAGGAUUAGAGCUUGAUGCCAAAUUCUGUAGUUAUGGCUCAAGAAGUAGGGGGGAUACCUGGCAAUAAAAGAUCAAUGAAGUUGGAAAGAGUGCCUUGGAAUGUUAGGGGGCUAAAUAUUGGCAGAAGGAGGAGGCUAAUCAGAAACAUUCUACAUACAUGGAAUUAUGGAAAGCUGAUGUAGUGUGUCUAAGAACUCAGUCUCGUAAUUUGUAAUUUGUUCAUCAUAAAAUUCAUGAACAAGUUAUUAGAUGUGUUCAUUUUGGUGGUGCUUUCCUUGUACCUUCAGUGAAGAAAGGUUUGAAAUGGAAGACAAAUUCUGGGUACAGUAAAACAGGGGGAUCCAAAUGUAUAGCCUUUCGUGAUCCAGCGGGAAUGGAUCAAUGUUGAGAAACAGAGGAUCAUGAGUUAUACCCCAGAUUAACAUUGAACUAUUACCCUAUGAUCACUAUCCUCUUGUAACCUGUUUUAUCUUAGCUGUUCUAUAAAAAUAGUGGACAAAAUAUCAAUUCGAAUCACUCUCAAGGAUGAGGUGAUUGUCUGAUCUUUUGGUGCAAAGGUUCUCAAAUUAACCACCUACUUCAUCAAUUAUUCUGUAGGUUGUCAGACUGAUUGAAAUGUGGGUGAAGCAGUUUUAAAAAUACACACUUUUGAAGUAUACGACAUAAUCUGUGGAUGAAAUUUAGACUGUCCAGUCCACUUAUAUUGUUUUAUUUUAUUUGUUUUUUUAAUUUUAAAGGCGGAGUGUCCAGUUGACCUUUUGUCGAAACCACUUUAUCAACUAACUCUUCUGAAAAAUUGAAUUAUUAAAGAAGAAUCCUAAAUGUAGAUUCCCAAUUAACUGUUUUCUUUGGCAGCUUCAAUCUUUAGUCUUCUUUUUUUUUUUUCUCCUUGUCAUCUUAUAUGAAUUUGCUCAUCUUCUUAUCAGGUAUACUCCUUAUUUCUUUGACAAAAACAUGUUAGAUAACAUUCUUGAAGAAUCUGUUGACCAACAUUUCCAUUCACUGAUUCAAACAAGACACAUGCAACGCCGAAGGGAUGUUUUUGAUGACAACUUGGCUGCCGAAGUAAUUGAAGAGAUGGGAGAUAGUAUGUGGGAGCCUCCUGAGGUACUAAACUGGUCAGAGAUUGAAAAUAUGUGUAAGGAGCAACACAAAUAGUGAUGAAUUUUACUUUAAAAAGGAGGAUGGUGAUAAAUUUUCUAAGGUGGUUUCCCCUUUGGUUUGCUUUGGGGGUGGGGUAGAGACAGAUGCACUGUAGAAUCUGUUGAAUUUUUUACAUGGAUUUGAAGGGUAGGGAAAGCUCGCCAACCACAAAUGUGGUGAUCUUAUGAGUGGCUAUAGUCUUGAUCAAAGUGUACCCAUCAGCAAUUAGCCUUUUGUUCUUUUUUAUACUUCAUUGGUUUUAGCAAUCUGUUUAUUUUGUUGCGCUGUGGAAAAUACAAAAAUAUCACCAACCCAUUGGUUUAAUGAUUGACAGGUGCAAGAUGCACUCGAUGAAGUGGGUCCACCAGCGAUACCUUUGAGUGUCAUAUCAAAGGCUGCUGAAAUUCAGCUUCUACAUGCUGUCGAUAAGGUUCUUCUAGGGAACAGGUGGUUGCGGAAAGCAACAGGAAUUCAACCCAAGUUUCCUUACAUGGUUGACUCGUUUGAAAAGAGGUAGCUCAUUCAUUUUCAAGAGUUCCUUCGUAGGGAGAAGUGAUCUUUUCACAUGGUUCAUGCCUUGAAAUCUUUUAAUAGUGAUGUUAUUUCAUCAUAUUAUGUCACAUUGUCAGUGGCUAGAUUCGGGUGUCUCAGAAUUCUCCAAACUCUGAGCAAAUAUUUGGAUGGUAUAAACAUUUGAUUGCAAUUUCUCAAUCCCCAAAAUUGUUUGAUUUUGCAGGAGCGCAGCGUCUUUCCAGAGAGCAUGUAGGAUUUCGGGGUUUGUUAAUAAUUCUCCGUUGGAAGCUAAUAAUAACCAACUACAGUGCAUUGGCACCUCAGCAGUCGAGGGAGCUGAUAAUAUCUCCAAUAAGAAACGAUUAGGGCUGGAUAUCCGACUCCCUUUUGGGGGCUGGUUGAGUCCUGCAUGGAGUAAAGGACAGAAGCAGCAGAUAAUAAAAGAUAAAAGGUCCCAUUCAGUUUAUUUUUCCAUGAAAAUAACAUGGGCCAUUAUAAGAUUAAUUCUGUUUUUUGGAAAAGAAUCUAAGAUUUUUAAUGGAUUUAAUACUGCCAGGGAAUACAGAGAGGUACAUCCAUCACCUCUUCUUCCGAAGAUUACUAUGGUUGGUAUCUCAAUGGGUGAGGCUGGGCAGGUGAGCAAAGCCACUUUGAAGAAGACAAUGGAGGAUUUGACGAAAGAACUGGAAUAUACAGAUCAGAAAAGCUCAUCUGGGAAUAAUGUUGAUGAAAUAACAUUUGAAGAGAGGGAUCCUUUAUUCGUAGCUAACGUUGGUGAUUAUCAUUCUAGUGCAGCAAAGGGAGGUUCAACUCGAUGGGUUCGAGGAGGAACGUUUUAAACAACCUCCGACCAGGUUUUGUUCCUUCUCAAAUUAGCUGCUUACAAUGUAAUUCUAGGAAAUAAUUAAAUGUAUACUAGUCUUCUGUUGCAUGACUUUAUAUUGUAGCUAGUGAGAUGGUUAGUUUUCUCAGGUUUUAGCUGAUUGGAUGAGGCAAAAUUUGGUUAGAAUAGAUCAAUAUCAGCAUCUGUUGUAGCAUAUAGAUUAUUGUAACAAUGUAUACUUUUGAGUUUUUAGCAGUUGUAUCUUGUAAACUACUGAGUUUCUUAAUGAUCCUUCAAACCUCAAAGAUGUAAAGAAUAGUAGUGAUACUUUGAUCUACCAUAAAAAUAUGUAUCUGAAUAAUGUGUAGAAAAUGAGUCCAAGUAGGCUCAAGUAUGAGGUAUACAUUACCAUGUACUUAAUAUACUAUUAUGUUAUACCUUAUUUUACUAUGUACUAGUUUCUCAAACAUAUAUUAGUUUAACAUAUUUACAUGCUACAUACUAUAUUUUACUUGUAAAUACUAAUAAAUCAUUUUUAUUCACACACACUUUUAGUACAUGUACAUAUUCCGCCCCUCUUUAUAUGUACUUUACAAAUACUAUAUACUUUCUCUCUACUAUUACUACUACUAUUAUCACUACUUUACUCCUAUUACAUACAUACAGUUUUCCUACAUUAUAGUACUCAUAUAUCAAAGGUAUAUCACAUGAUAUAUUUUAUGUAUAUCAUACAUAUUUUAUAUACCUUGUAUAUUUUCAACUACGAAUUGUUUUAGCCUCUUUUUUUUUUUUUUGUACUAUCUUUUUUUAGCAAGUGAAAUAAAUAACUCUCAUUUGUUUAUUCAAAGCUAGAUUUAAGGACUAUUUUAAAAUAGGCUCCAAGGCUUAUCUAACACCUUUUCUUCAAUGUAAAUAAAAUCCUUAUCCAGAAUCUCAUCCGCUAUCAGAAACCAAAACAGAGUUUAUAUUUACAAAUGGUUUUCUUCUUAUUAUAUUUUUCUAAAAAUUAGGUGGCUACUUUGAAUAUUUUCUAAACCAAGGGUAACACUAUCAUUAAGUUGUAAACUAUUUUGCUCAAAAAUGACACAUGAUGCCACUGAUCUGAUAAUAAAUAGAGAAAAUUUCAUAAAUACCAUAGAGGUUAAACUUAACCACGCUCUAUAGCUACAAUUUGCUUAAUUACGUUUCAUAGCUAUAGUUUCGUUUGCUAUAGGUGUUUUCGUUUGUAUAUUGAACUUUCAAUAUACAAACAAGGUAAGUAUAUACAAAUUCUGUAUUUAUACAUUUAAGAAUUUUUCAGAACUUCGUUUGUAUAGUUCGGUUGUCAUAAGAAUUUUUCAGAACUCCAUUUGUAUAUUUCGUUUGUCAAUAUACAAACAUGGUAAAAUCAAAUGUAUCAACAAAUUAUAUACAAAUAGCUAGGGUAAGCAUAUACAAAAUCUGGAUUUAUACAAUCAUAAUUCGAAUUAUACAAAUUCAGAAUUUAUACAAUUAGAAAUCGAAUAGCAAAAAUUUAAGAAACUAUAGCCACUAAUCAUAAAUAUCUGAAACUAUAACUAUGGAGCAUAAUAUAGUAUAAAUGUUUGCCAUUUCAAGUAAUUUUUCCUAACAAGUAUUGCAAAAAUUAUUUAUUAGAUAAGCACAUAAUUUAUUUUUCACUAAUCCUCGUCUCAACACUCUCUCUGUCAUUUAUUUUUUAAAUUGCUUUAGUUCUUUCUCUCAACAUGUAAUAACAAACUGGAAAAAAGUUCUCUCUCAACAUGUAAUAACAUAUAAUAAUUUUGUGAGUUGUAUUUGUAUCAAUAGUUUUUACAUGUGUUGUAUACGAUCUUAGGAGUUUGUAUUUUUUAUCAAUAUUAUACUGUAGAUUUUAUGUAUUUGUACUAUUCUUAUUUGUAUAUUUUCAACAAUUAUUUACAGUUGCUUGUUUGUAUAUAUGCAUCAGUUUAUAUAUAUAUAUAGUUGUCUAGCAUUUCUCUUUUGUAUAUCUUAUACGAUUCUAUGUGUUAAUGAUAAUUGUACACAUUUUGAUUUGUAUAUUUUUAAUUAACCCAUAUAUAUUUGUAUAUUUUAUCUUUAUAAUGACCUUUUUUGACAUGUGAGUUAAAUUUCAUGUCAAAGAAACUCACCAGCAAAGAGUUCAUUUUGGUAAGAUAUUCUAAGAAAAUAUACUAACUUUUGAUUUGUGGGAUAUUUUCCAUUUCAUAAUUGAUUUUACUGUAUCAAUCAAGGAAUUAAUUGCUAUAUUUUUUUUAGGGAGUUAAAUUUCAUGUAAAAAAAACUCUCAAGAAAGAGUCAAUUUUGUUAAGAAAUUCUAAGGAAAUAAACUAAGCAUAAUUUGUGGGAUAUUUUUCAUUUCAAAAUUGAUUUUACGUGUCAAUCAAGGAAUUAAUUGCCAGACAUAUUUGUAUAAAUGACUACAAAAACGCGAAAUAUACAAUUAUUAGUCUUGAUAGCUAAUGAAACUGUAGCAACAAUUUGUAAUUAGAGAAACAUUAGCUAAAGGAGCCUGAUUAUUUCUCCAGUCUUAACUAUUUAUGAAAUUUCUACUAACAAAUUCUGGCAUAAUUUGUGCUUAGUUCUUAAAUUUUAUUCUUUAAUUAACUAUUUUUUUAAAAACUGCACAUAGUAUUCACUAUUUUUUAUGAGAAGAAAAGCAAAAAAAUAGUAUCCUAAAAUUUUAACAAAGUAAAAAGAAUUUAAUUAUAAUUCUAAAUUUAGCGACUGAAAUAAUUAAAAAUUAAUUCAAGAACAAUACUUUUCAAUCUGGGAGAGAUCUUAUAUUGUUACUUAUUUUUCAAGACUAAUUAUCUUGUCUCCAUUGUCUCUGCUAUUAGUAUAUAUAGGACUUAAAUUUAUAGUUAGAAAAAGAUAAAAUUUUGUUUUGUACAAAAUACAAAACUUUCCUAAGACAAAAUCAAGAAGAUAUUACUUGGAAAUUUCAGUAUUCUAGCUAGAGAAAAUAUGAAGUGGUGAUAAAAGGAUAUUUGAGAAAGUGUGUUGCAGUUGCAUGUUUGAUCUCUAUUAUUAUUAUUAUAUAAAAUCUACACAGGUUUAAUCUCAUGUUGAAAAUUAUUUGUAAAUAUAAUUAAUCUUGUAUUAAGUAAUGUGUUUAUAUGAACUCUACCUUCUAAUUAUACUCCCCAAUUAAAUAUUGAUAUUAUGUCUAUAUCUUCAUACGCUCUAACGCUCUUUGCAUUUGAAGAGGUAACUAUUGCAAUUUGCAAGUGUUCUUAAUUUUUAAUUAAGAAAAAAGCAUUAGAACCUAGAUCAUUGAUAAUGAGGAAAUUAUUACUCAGAAAUGAUCUUCAUGAUUAUUAUUGUAAUAAUUACGAUGUUAUAUAGAAAGUUUUCAAAAUAUUGGUGUUUAAUAUUUAAGUAGAUAUUUUAUUUCAGUUUGAUUUAUUGCAAGAGCAAAAUUGUAAUUCAAUUCUAAUAUAUAUAUAUAUAUGUUAUUUUUGUCCACAAAAAUUUAAGCCUGAGACUAAAUGAUUCCCACCGUAUUAAAUCACUAGGCAACAAGCCCACAACCCAAUCUUCUAAUUUUUUUUAAUAGUAUAUAUUAAUAAUAAAACAAAAUAAAACUCGGACAUUAUUUUUGUUUUACAAGCAUGAAAAUAUAAUUAUAAUUUCAUACUUUACUAUGAAAUACUACCGAAAAUAUUGUCCUAUUUACAUGCUUUACAACUUAUUUUUGCUAACAAAUUAUAUGUAUACUUAAGACAAUACGAUUAACAUUGAACGGAUAUAUAGUAGGAAAUUUUUUUAUUGUUUUAUAGAUAAAAAAAGACUUGUUCAUAUAAAAGACACUAGAACUUCUAACGGGAUUUGAACUUUAGAUUUCUUGAACGUAAAGUGAAAUUGUAAUCAUCCUCUUAUAAAUUUAAUCAUUAGGACAUACUAAUUCUUCAGAGUGAUCAGUAUGGUUGUUUACCAGAAAAAUUGCUACUAUUCAUUUAAAAGUUGAAUUUAUAAAAACAAAGGAUAGGGUACAAGUACCUCUCUAGACUAUGAUCGAAAUUUCAGCGACAUACCUUAACUAAACUAAGGUCCUAUUACCCCCCCCCCCCACCCCACAACCCAAACCCAUUUUUUAUAAUUUUGUACGUCUUUUUGGCUUACGUGGUAUCAAGAUAUCUCCCAUGUGCCUCAAUUGCGUGGAGUCAGGGAGUGUGCCACGUAAGCCAAAAGGUGUACAAAAUUACAAAAAUAUAUGAUUUCAGGUGGGUAAUAAGACCUUAGUUUAGUUAAGGUGUGUCUCUAAAAUUUCGAUCAUAAUCUAUGAGGUACUUAUGCCUUAUCCCUAAAAACAAGGAUAAAGACAAAUGUACUAUGAUCAAUCAAACUCCUUUUCUUUGUGGCUAAAUUGGUAUAGCAAAAAUAAAUUAGAGAAUAGAAAUUAUGCUAAGAAUAAGGACAACAAUGAGAACAAUUAUCCUAGUUUCACAUGGUAGGAGUAAAACUGAUUACACAGUACACAUUAUCCUUUUCAACUCACUUAUACGAUUACACUAAGUAUGUUAUUCUUAUUGGUGUUAUUGUAAAUUGUAUGAAGAACAAGGAUAAUAAUAAGUGUAAAUAUAAUGACAAGUAAAAAUAAGAGCAAGAAAUAAUUAGAAGAUGAAUCUUUUGUAUUAUUAGAGCUUUUCAAUGAUGUUUUUCUUACAAGUAGAUGAGAUCAUAUUUCUCUCUUGCAAGGGUUUACAUUAAGAUGCUAUUAUGUGUCAAAUUUUAACCAGUCCUUGUGCCAAAUUCGAAUUUCACCUCAUACAAUGUCAGCAAUUUUAUUUUUUUAAUUAUGAGAAUCUAGUCUAUCUAAGAUGCAAGCAACCACUAAUGCUUGUAUUAGAAUAGACUUUCUACAUCACACGGCCUCUUAGGCUACGGUUUUUUUUAAUUAUGUGUGAACACAAUGUUUAAUGUAUUGAGUUGUCUUUAGAUAUAGUCUAUGUAGACUUUUGUACACACAAAAUAUUUUAUGUACUGGACUAUUUUUUAAUUUAAUCUAUGUAGACUUUUGUAUUUAACUAAUAUUUUGUAGUGUUUGUCAUCAAAGUUAGGAAGUGCAUGCGUGUAGUUUCCCUUUUCAAUACACUACAUCUAAAAACCUGAAGCAUCUAUAACAUAUAUUGCUGCUUUUAUCAAAGUUAUUAACAUUUUCUUAUGUGAUGUGGUCAUGUUGCACUAAAUAUAUUUCUUAGAGAAAAUAUUGACUACAAUUAUUGGCCCCACUUUGAGAUUAUUGUAAAGUCAAGGGGCAUAAAAUUAUUGAAAUUGCAAAUUUUCUUUUCUUAAGGGACUUCCAUUUCACUAAUUAAGAAUUUUUUAAUUUAAAAAAUCAAACUUUUCGACUUUUUAACAAUUGGGUGCAAGAGAUUAAUUUUUAUCUUCUCUUUCAUUAUAUUGUAAUUAUCCUCACCAUAAAAUGGAAAAGAACAUUAAAUGUUCAUUAAAUGUUAAUUGAAUAUGGAUGUGCACGGAGCAGGUAGGUACCUCUCUAAGUUCUCUAUAUAAUAAGCCAAUUUGGUUCACUUUUCUUCAUCCCAGUUUUUGAUUUUUAACUUUCUACCCACUAAUUUUUUUUUAGCUAUUUCCUUCAUAAAUCAUCCCCUUUUUGAUCUUUUUCCUCACUCCUUUCUUACAGAAAAUAUCCUUAGUUUUUUAAUAAACACAUUUUUUAAGUUCUUAAGGAUUUUCUUGCCCCUAUUCCAUUUUUUUGCAGUUAACUAGAUAUAAUUAUAUAUAUAGAUUUAAAAUGGAGGAUAAUGAUUGGGAUUUAAGCGCUGUAGUAAGAAGUUGUAACAUUAAUAAGACUAAUGAUGUUACAGUUCCUAACUCAGGCUUGGUGACUUCUGAAAAUGACGAUUGGAAUAUUUUUUUUGACAAAAAUGUUGCUGCUGACAUACCUAAUUUUAAUGAUUUAUUUGAGAUUUUCUCUAUAGAUUUUUCAGUUGCUCACCAGAAAAAAUCAAAUGACGAUGUCAUAAUCACGGACCAAAAUAAUAACCAAGAGAUGUACUUACAUCCCAUUCAACCAAAUCAAUCUAGUCAACAAAUCAUUCUUCCUCCAAUACCAACAACAAUAACAUGUGUGCCAACAACGACUACAACACCACAAGAGUCGAUUUAUCUACAACAACAACUUCAAAAAUCAAAUGAUCAGAUUAUAAUUAUGAAUCAAAAUGGUAAUCCAGAGAUGUACUUAGAUCCCAUUCAACCAACACAAUUUAGCCAACAAAUCUUUCUUCCCCCGUUACCAACAACGAUAACGUGUAUGCCAAGAACAACUACAACAUCACAAGAAUUGAUCGAUCUACAACAACAAUUUGAAAAAUUAGAUGAUCAGGUCAUAAUCAUGGACCAAAACAAAAACCAAGAAAUGUACUACAAUCCCAUUCAACCAACUCAAUUUUGCCAACAAACUUUUCUUCCUCCAUUGCCAACAAUGUUAACGUGUGUGCCAACAACUACUACAACACCACAAGAAUCGAUAGAUCUACAACAACAACUUGUGAUACAGGAUCAAGUUUAUCCUAAUUUCACUAUGCCCAUGCCGACUCCUCUGAUCAAAACUUUUAAAAGGUAACUAUUUCCUCUGUUAAAUUUUAAGUGUGCGUGUUUAGAGUUUAAUUUUAAUACUUUUGAUUUGAAAUCAGAAAAAAUCAGUCAACAAGAGUUGUCUAUGAAGUGUUGCAAGAGGAACUCACAGAUGAUAAAUGGGCAUGGCGUAAGUAUGGUCAGAAGUCAAUCAAAGGUUCUCCAUUCCCGAGGUUUGCUCUCUUUAUCAUUUUUUCAUAUCGUAGAAAAUGUUGUUCAGUUCUCAAUUUUUGUGAUAAAAAGUAGUAAAAACUAUUAAUGGUAAAUGUAGACAAAUGUAAUAUUUGACCAGUACUAAUUAUAUUUUGUGUAUACGAUAUAUCAGGAACUACUUUAAAUGUAGUACAUCAGGAUCCUGCAAAGCUACAAAAAUAAUUGAGAAAAGCCCAAAGAAUGAGAACUAUUUUUUGGUGUCCUAUUCUGAUGAACACAACCAUGAUCCUCCUACAUAUCGUAAAUCUCUUACUUUAUACAACAGUAGUUCCAAACGCAAACUUCCAAAAAGUAUAAAUAUUGUGCCCAAAGCGUUAAACUUGAAUGCAUCAUCGUCCUCGUCCAAGUGUGCUAAGCGUUUCAAAGUUGACACCUCUUCAAUUAGUCCAACUGCACCUACACUUGAAAUUAAGAGAAAUAAUGAAAUGGUUGAUGUUGUCGUGGAGAACAAAAACGAUAUUGAAGAGGAGGAGAACACGUAUGACAAUAUUUUCAUGGAUUUUGAAGAACUCCAACAAGUUACUACUUCCAUCUUAUGGGGAUGAAAUGGACAAGAGGAAUUGAUAUGUUUUCUCCCUCUCCACCAACUCUAUUAUGAGAACCUUUUGUCUUCUAGUCAUGUUUCUUUUAUAGUUAUAAAUGGGGUAAGACAAAACAAAAUUAGAUUUAUAGUUUGUUAUGUUUAACCAUGUCAUAGAAAAUGGUGCUUCUCUAGAUAGCUAGAUAUGAAUCAUUUUCAGUUUCGUCAUUUUUGUUGUUUUUAAUAUAAAAAUUUGACCCCUCUUGAAAGUUGUUUUAUUUUCUCAAAUAGUUCUUUCUUUAAGAAAAGUCAUUGGUCUCGAACUCUCAAUUUAUACAUUAAACUGUACGAAGUAUUAGAAUAUCACAAUUCAAUUUCAGAAGCUAUGUGUGUAUAUAUAUAUAUAUAAAAGAGUGUUAUUGAUGCAUGCAUUAACCAUUUCGAAGGAGUUUUCACACUAAAAAGUCAGUUGUAUGUUCUUGUGGAUUACUAUUAAUUUAAAAGAUAGAAUAAGUAAUUUGUUUUAGUACUCUCUUAAAUUAUUUUUUGAUGGUAUACAUUUUUUCUCUAUAUCAUCAAUGGUUUAUAAAUAUCUCAACAACUAUUUUGAUUUUCUUAUUCCUGGUUCUUUUUCUUUUGCUAAAGGACAAUUUUAUAGUCACAUUAUCUUUGAACAAGAAACAUGUGUCAAAUGUAUAAUUAGAAUAAGUAUAGGGAUUUACGAAUUCCUUGUGGUCUUUAAUGUUGCUAGGAGUAGCAUUGAAUGCAAUCUCUACAUAUAAACUGUUACAAAUAUUAAUUAUUAAUAUAAAAGUUUUGCAUAAUUAUUGAAGUAAUACAUUAUUUCAAUAUUGAACAUUGUACUACUCUAGUUCAUUUUUUAUUUAUUGAAAAAGAUUAAUUGAAAGGUUACUUAACUAAAUUAUUAUUAUAUAAUCUUGAUGUAUUAAUCUCUCUAUUAAUUAUUCAAAAUAUCAAAAAAAAAAUUGCAGUCGAGAGAUUUCCUAAUGAGGAGGACUUGUGUCCUAUCAUGGUAUUAGGGUUCAAUUAUAUCUUCUAUAUUUUUCUCACUAAAUUGAUCAUAUUUGAAAAGCUCAUUUACGUAUGUAUGUAAGAAAGGAGAAUCUCAAUACGUCCAAUUUCAUUUGAGAUUAUAUUGACUUUCUAUUAUUUAAAACGAACAUGACCAUCAUUGAUUUGAUUAUAUUUUAGAAAUGUUGGAUAUAUAGCUUGUGAAGAUAUUUGAAACGUACCAUUAUAUUUAGAUCAUAUUGUGUUUGUACGUGUUUCUAGAAUGUUUAAUUACAUUUUCAUAAUUUAGCUAAAUUUUCAAUUUAUUAAAUAUAUUGUAAAUGAUAUUAUUGAUAUGUGGAUAAAAAACUUAGAUGUUCCCCACUUUAACCAAUUUAUUUAACAUUUCUCUUUCUCUAUGUUCUCGAUUUGAUAAUUCAUUUGUUGUCGUAUGUUGUAAUAUGGAAAAAAUAGAACUCAAACCAAAAAUCAAAAUGGAAGAAUGAAAAAAUGAAAAAGUCAUAAAGAACCACGAGAUUGAAUUAGAUUCAAAUUUUAAUGAAGAUAAAAAUAUUAGGUAAUUCUUUUUAUUUGUAUAAAUUUAGACAGAUUGAGUUACUUGAUAUCUAUAUUGAUGAUAUCGUGAGAGAUACCUCAUAAAGUAUUCAAAGGGUAACCAAGUCAUCUAGAAUAUGAACAUUUAAAAAAGAUAAUUUUUUUAAAAAAAAUUAAGGAAGAAGCAAACAAUAGGUCAUGACCAUUAUAUUGGUACUACUUGCUAGGAUUCUACACCUCUAAUGUUUUUCAGUUUGCAACUACCAUUUCAAGGACCUAGUCUAGAUAGAUACAAGAGUUGCUAAUAAAGUACGAAUAGAAAAUAUAAUAAAUAACGAAAAAUAAUCACAUAACUUUCACUUGAGAACAUAGUAGAUGGUAGUUGAUGAUAAGUAAUUGUAAUUCCACGCUUCAAGCAACCUGAAAAUAACUUAUACCAACAUAAGGUGUAACAAGAAUAGUAUCAGUACACCAUACACACUAAGUUGGCAUCACAGAUCGACGUGAAUUAAUUUCACGUAAAACAUCACAAAAUCAAUAGUAACAACAGUACAUUAUGCCAACAUAUAUUAUAACACAAGCAAUAUCUCUCCAUAUCUUUUCUAACCGUAAUCAUGAUUUUCAUUAUCGAUCUCUUAGCAUACUCUCUAACCUUAAAUAUUAAUCUCACAUAGAUAUAAAUUUUUCAGAAGUCAAUACGAUAAUACUCCUAUUAUAUACAUAAUUUUCCUACAUUAUAUUACUCAAAUAUCAAAAGUAUAUCACUUGAUAUAUUUUAGGUAUGCCACACAUAUUUUAUAUACCUUGUGUAUUUUCAACUACGAAUUGUUCUAGUCCUUACUUUUUUUUUUUUUACUUUUCUUAUUACUGUUUUUACCAUCUAUUUUAGCAAGUAGGUGAAAUAAAUAACUCUUCAUAGUUACAAUUUGCUUAAUUAUGCUGCAUAGCUAUAGUUUUGUUUGCUAUGGAUAUAUUUGUUUGUAUAUUUAGCUUUCAAUAUACAAACAAGGUAAGUAUAUACAAAUUCUGUAUUUAUACAUUUAAGAAUUUUUUAAAACUUCAUUUAUCUAUUUCGCUUGCAAAUAUGCAAACAUGGUAAUUUACUAUGAAUUUUUCAUAACUUAUACAAAUCAAAUGUAUCAACAAAUCGUAUACAAAUAACUAGGUAAGCAUAUACAAAAUUUGGAUUUAUACAAUCAUAAAUCGAAUUAUACAAAUUCUGAAUUUAUACAAUUAGAAAUCGAAUAGCAAAAUUUAAGAAACAGUAACUGCUAAUAAAAAUAUCUGAAAGUGUAAGCAUGGAGCAUAAUAUACAAUAAAUGUUUGUCAUUAGGAUUUCUAUUUUUAAGCUAGCCUCCCACACUCUAUUUGUAUCAAACCAAAACUCUCUCUCUUCUCUCAUAAUUUAUUUCUUUUCUUUUAUACAUCUAAUCAACUCUCUUUCAUCUCCCACUCUUUGAUUUUUCUUCUAAUUUCACUUAACCAUAUUCAUUUUUGAAGUUUCAAAGAUUUAUUUUCUUCCUCAAAUCGUAUUUUCCCAAUUUCAGGUAACCUACCUUGUCAGUUUUCAAUUGGUUUCUUUAGAUUUUUGUUUGUGUAUUUUGUAUCAUUUUACUUUCAUUCAAUUUUUAGUUUUUCAGUUACAUCAAUAGAAAUAUACAAAUAUAUGCAAGUUCAUGGUUAAACAAACUCGAUCAAAGAGAAUUACAUGAGUUAUACAAAUGCAUGUUCAAAAAAUUUAAAGAGAGAAGAUGAAGAACAAAAAAUUGAUGGAGAGUCGAGGAGUUCAAAAAAGAAAAGAAAAGUCAAAGAAAUAAAAAAAGGACGGAAAUGAUGUUGAAAUUAGGUCCAAGGAUCAAAAUGAUAUUGAAGAAAAUGGAGGUAUUUAUAUAAUCCCUUGAGUUGUAUUUAAUAUAUAUUUUCAUCAACCAUUUACAAUAACUUGUUUGUAUAUAUGCAGCUAUUGUAUAUAUAUAUACUAGAUGGGAAUGGCCCGUGCUAGCACGGGCCCAACAUUUUAUUUGUGGAUGCUUUACAUGGCACUUGGUAACGAAGAACAGCAGUAAAGAACUUAAAAAGUUGCAACAUAGCGAUGUAAAAACUAAAAUUGCAUUAGAUGAAUGACGUAAGCAGAACGUGUAAAAAUGGUUGAGCUAUGAUUGAUACAGAUCUUUCGGACUCUAUUUGUCUUCACAAAGUUUCCUGCCUUAGUCAAUUUCUGCUUCUUCCAAGAAAGGUAAAUUUGUAUGUGCAUUAUAAAAUGUACACACAGGAAAUAAUUGAAUUUACUUGUUGAUUUGAAGAGAACAUGGAGUAAUUGAAUAACUCGUUCAACUUUUAAGUGUUGUCAUGUUGCAUCUUGCAAUGCUAGCUGUCGUAGUUUGAAUGACCAUCUUAGAACAACUAUUGGAUGUGCUUUGCACUUUGCCCUCUUUGCCAAGCCAAAAAUGAAUUAAAGACUAUUUAAAUAUGAAGAACGGUGAUAAAGUAAAUAAAAUUAUCUAUUGCAUUGGCGAACUUUAGACUAAUAAGCCUUAGAAUAUAUUUCACCUUUUAGCUAUUCGGCUUCUUCAACAUAUGGGACACGCAGAGCCAAAGUGCUGCAUCUGUUCAAGAGACAGCAGAACUCGCCAGAUCAUUUAGAAAGAAGCCAACCUUGUGCGGUUUGUUUUUAUUCCAUAAAAAAAUAUCAAAAAAUUUGUCUGUACGUCUUCUCAAUUUGAUUCCACAGUUGGUAGAAAUAAAUGGCCGGGAAUUUCACAUGUCAGCUACAACUUCAUGUGAAUUUUUUUGAAUGUUGCGCGUACUCUUUACUUUGGGCAUUACUUUUGGAGAAUUGACAUUUUUGAAGAGUCAGAACAAUAUAGAUUUAAGAAAGAAGAAGAAAAUGAUGAGAUGAAGUCUAAUAUGUUUUUGACAUAUUUAUCUCAUUCACGUCCAGGUCUAACAUGGCAUUAGAGCUCUUUCACUUGGUCAUGAGUUUGAAACUUAAAAGAUCAAUCUAAUGAGCAGUAUACAAAAAAGUUAAAUUAGUUGUAGGAAAAGGUAAUCUUAAAAAAAAUGUUAUGUUUUCUUCCUACUUAAAUAUAUGAAUUGUUCUACCAACUACUUUUGAAACUCAUAUUUCAGUGAUAUUACUCCAUAUACUAUCUCUUGAUGCAUUAUGAACAAAAAGAGGGCUCCAAGUAUCUUUCACAUAUUUCACAUUUCAUCAGAAUUUUCAUUACCAUCAUUAAACUUUUAGUCAUUUAAAUAAUAAACUCUUAUUAUGCAAUCUUAGAUUUCUUAUUCUCACACCUCCAACCUUCUUGUGAAUCAUUACUUUUUUUUGUCAUUUAAUAACUUUAGUUCUCUUGUAUUACGCCUUUCCACAUGAGGUCACUUUUUAUGGUAUUCAAAUUUUCCUCAUAUAACCAUGCAACUUUAACAAAAACAAUAAGUAGGUUGAAAUUUUAUCCAACACACUAUUAACUGAAGUGAGUCUGCCAUCGAAAGACAAUUUUUUUUUUCAAGAAGUCAUCUUAUUGAGACAUCUAUUUAAUAUCUCAGUCAGAUACUUUUGGCAUUCUUCUUUGCACCUCAAGAAAGUCCCAAAUAUAGGUAACUCUUUAACCUUUCAUCUAAUUCCUAUAUAAAAUCUCUGAGGUAAAUCCUCUAUACAAUGGUGUUGUACAUAAUACUCCUAUUUAAUUUGCUCAUUUUAAGUGCUUUUGAAUUUAAGCUCAUUUUUUGUAGUGUUUGAUUGCCAGAAAAGGCAAAAAAAAAAAAUUAAAUCUAAAAGUUGGGUAUAACCAACUUAUGACUUUUAGCUUUUAGCUUAGAAGUCAUCUUGUAAAAGCAAUCCAAACACCCUCUUAGCCAGAUUCACCCUUGAACCAGUUACUAUCCCAAAAGUUAGGAGAAUUCCUCCAUGAACAUAUCAACAAAAUGACAUUUGCAUAUAAAAUAUGAGAAAUUGUACAUGGUGCACCUCCCAUUCUAUCAACCUGCAACCUCUUUACCCAAUCCAAAUUCUCACCUUUUUUUAGCUUUAUGUUGAGAGUCUCUAUCAUCGAAACAAACAAAUAUGGGGACAAAACUCCAUCUUAGCACUCUAAAAGAUUUUAAGAGAUCUUGAGGGUUUCCAUUGAUGAGAAAUGAAUUUUCACUAUAUAUAUGCAGAAUUCAAUCUAUUUGAAUCUCUGUCUUUUUUCAAAAUUCAUGUGUUUUAUGAUGUCUAUAAACACGGUAAACUGAAAAUUUCAUUUUUUUCAUCAUUAUAGGAUUAUGUCUCUUGCAUCAAACUAAACCUGACAAUAUAUGAAUCAUCACAGAAAGUUUCAGCUAAAACUUUAUGUUUGUGCAUUAAUGUACACGACUGGAAAAAAUAACAAUAGUUUUACUCAAAAAGUCAUGACUAACAUCUCCAUUAUAAUUCAAAAACUAAUAAAAUAAAUAACGAAGAGAAUGUGAUUGUACUGCAGAAGAUGUGUGAUUAACUUUUAGAAUAAGAUACCUGUCAAAAUAGGCCUUGAAUCUCCACAAACAUCUUUCAUUGGUCAAGUGCAUCACGGAAGACCCUACUUUCCUCCUUGUUUUAAACUGAGUAGAUUUUUUCAGGGUUAAGCUUUCUUGCUCAAAGAAUAGAGUGAAUGUCAUAAAACAUUAAUAUGACAUCUAUAUACUUUACAAUGUGAAUAAACAUGCUAGUAAAACUUCAUAUAUACACCAAAUAGAAAUAAUAAAUGCUAUAAUUACUUUGUAGUAUGCGUAGGAGUGCAUCUCAUUUACCUACCCUUAAGCCUAUCAUAUGGCAACAUCAUCACCAUUUUAAGGAAAAUAAAUCGAAAGCUCAUUUUAUUGUUUAAAACAUACAAUUACAUAUUAAGGUUUUAAACUAAAACUAAAAUUCCUUACCCCUAUUUACGUCAUCAAAUGUUUUCGGCAUCUUCAUUCAAAUUACUUAAAUAUUAGUAACAUUUACUCGACAAAUAGCAUAUAAACUUAUUUAAUAAAAUUCAUAGUAGAAAAACUAACAACAAUUAAUUUAUCAUUGGCCUAGUAGUACUUAAUACACAUCACUUGAGUCGAAAGAUGAAUAAAUAGCAACUCUUAAUAUAAUAUCUCUAUUUAUGAAGGUAAAUGCUACUUACACUAACCUCACUUAGUUGAAAUAAGUGAAAACAUAUAGGUAGACUUUUUCAUGUCAAUCGAUCCUCCUAACCUGUACACAUAUACACAACAAAGUUAGACUAUACAUACAUUUUUACUCAUGCAAGUUAUAAAAAGGUGUUACAUUUUGUUGUAGGAGUAUCACCACUUGAUACAGCUUGAACAUCAAAUAUCUAGCUAAACGCAUUUCAAAUAAAUAUUUAUUUAACAAAAAUGAUAUAUAAUGCAUAUUAUAAUUAUUGAAUAGUUCUUUCUAGUGAAUGUGAAUAAUGCAUCCUUGGAAUUAUUAAAUGAGAGAUGAUUUCCUAAUAGAAUCCUUAAGGGGGCAUUUCAUCAAACACCUUGGUAGUGUGAAAGUUCUUCCUUCAAAUUCAGAUCUCAUAAAAGCAUUUGAACACUCACCCAAAAUGCAAGUAUAAGUCUUCUAAUAAAACAUGAAGAGCAAAAUCCAAUAUNNNN